rnacentral:lncRNA from 1 species
GAAGGAAAAUGUAUUGACAUUUUAAUCAGAGAUAGUAUAUAUGUCAAUUGAACUAGUUGAUUUUUUUUAAGGAAAAUAAGAAUUAAAAUCUAAAUGUAGAGAAAAGUGACACUUGUAAUCCGAUUAAUCCUUAAAAUAUUCUAGCAAUAAUUAAAGAGAACCAAGUUGAAUUCUACCUACCCAUGCCACUUCAUACUUAAUUAUAUCCUAAUUGAUUAUUCAAUUUGAUCUCAUGUCUUUAGAUAAUUCCUUUAACAAAUUCUCUUUCCCACUAGCGCAUUCUUAAGACACCUCCCAACUUGUCAUGAUUCAUUGUAUUAGAAAACAUAAUUUGUCUAUCUGCACUUCAAUUGUUAGCCACAUAUAAAUGAGAACACUUUUGGAGGUCGAGCUUUAAGAACACAUAAGAACCGUUACCAACAUUAGGUUUAAAACAUGAAUCAACUAUUCGAAUACAAAGUGGCCCAUUAUUAUUUUUUAUAUUAAUACUUAUUCAUGAAGCCAUACAAGACAACAAAAAAUAAAAUGUACAACUUAAAGCCAAACUCUUUUUAACAUUUCCUCUUUCUUUCCAAGGCAUGAAUCAGGCCAAAUUAUUCAAUAUCCUCAAUUAUACACAAAACGUUUUCCUUUUUAGAUAGCAGGACAAGAAUAUGGUCAUAUAUAUUUCAAUUUUUCAGCACUAACAAAAUAUUUCCCUGCAAAUUAUUUUGAGAAGAUAAAGAAAAUGAAAAAAGAAGAAAACUUCAUUAAUAUAGUUGUCCAUUCCUGUCUUCCAGACACAUAUCUACUACUUUAUAAUUAACAUUAGCACAUGUGGAAACAUGGAUUCAAACAAAAGGUAUAUCUAAUAUCUGGAUGAACCAUGCAUAAGUUUAAAUUUCUGUUGGAAACUUUCAAACCAUAAUUUGUGUAAAAGUAUAUAUGAGAGAAGCUUUUAUUGAAACCAAGGUUUACAAACUUCCAGACAUAAAUAAAACACAUAAUUAAGCAUCAUAAUAUGGUCCAAAACUUCAAAUUGAGAAAAUAUAAUAAAGGAAAAUUGAGGAGGAAAUUAAAAGGAGGAGAAAACUCGGUUAAUAUAUAAUUAUCCAUUCCAAAAACAUGUACUUCUUUACUAACAUCUGCACAUGUGGAAAAUUCUUUCACAUGGAUUAAAACCAAAGAUAGGUCACAUCUUUAGCCGAUUCAUGCAAUCACCAAGUGUAUUUUAUAUAAUCCAAACUAGGGGGGUAAAGAAGAUAAGAAAGGGAAAAAUGAGGGCAAAUUAAAGAAAGCUAUAGUCCAAUCUAAUUCAUAGAAGUCCCUAGCUAGAGAAACCCAAGCCAACCAAUUACAAAAGCUACAUAUUUAAUAUACAUGCACAUACUAACUUCCUACAUCAAAAUUGCAUAUCUCAUGCUAUCAUUCACCAUUAGAUGAUUCAUUUCAGAAAUCUGAACAAAUUCACCAGACACCCAAACCCCAUCUGACCCGUUUGCUUGAGGAUGAGACACGCAUGAGAGGAUUGAUAUGGGGGCAUGAAGAAUGCCAUAUAUAAGUGAGAUUCCACUCCAACCAUGGUCUCUUCUUCCUCUAUCGUGUCGAAACAUGGCUAGCUCGACCCCAUUUGCAGCCUCAAACAUGUUCUCAUCGGCCACCCUUGAACCCUUCUUUGUGUUUUGAAGUUUCCUGGUCAACGCAGCCACAAGGCGCCACAUACCUCCAACCUCAAGAGAUUAGUCUCUGAAUUUCGAGUCAGGAAGCCGCAAAAGAACUAAAAUUAGUAUAUAGUGUCUCCGGAGUUUGUUUUGUGUUGUAGAAAGCUUAGGGAAUUGAAGGGGUUGGAAGUGGCAAUAACUCUUUCUCAACAAGGCUAUUGAUAUAAUGGUAAUUUGGUGGUGGUGUUGAUAGUGCUUGUGUUUAUCACAAAAGGUUUAUGGGUUCCUUUUGGUUUUAAAGAGGGCAACUAUCACUAGCAUUUUCAUUUUUCCAUUAACAAAAAGUGGGCCCUAUUAAGCCCAACUUGCCGACAAAGCUGCCUAACUGUACAAAAAAAUUGUGAUCUUUACUUUUGAAUUUGGUUUUACUUUUGUUUGAGUUAUACUUGUACAUUUGUUACCCGAUGUAAACAAAGCUGGUUUUCGGCACAAACACAUGGGAGAAUUUUUUAAGGUAUAGUUUUAGUGUUUUACAGUUCAUUUGAGUAAUACCAAGUUGAAGGGGGCACACACUGCAGGGAAGCUCAAGACAAAAUGUUUAGAAGCAGAUCUUAUCUGAUCGUAUGCAGGCCAAUCAUUGGAUCAGUAAAUUCAUCAGAGAAUCACCACAGCCGUUUGAUGAAAGAUCUUUCUAGAGAUAGACAUUGCAUCAAAAGUGAAAUUGAUCAGUGGAUUUGCUAUGAUACUUUGGUUCUUCUGUUUUUUUAACCUAUAGUUGUGGACUGGUUAUUCUUCUUUUUAACUUUUUUUAAAUUUAUACUUGUGGUGUAGGAUUGCUACUAAUUAUCAAGUCUAAAUUUCAUAUUUGAUUCUUCCGUGAAAGAUUUUGCUUUAGAAAGUAAAUACUAAGAAAUUAUAGUCAUUAAUUAACAUUGUAUUUAAACACAUGUAUAUUUAAAUGCUAAUGUACUAUUCUUUUAAUCAAUAACUAUAAUUCUUUAUUUUACUCCAUAUAUUAAAUAAUUUUUUAAUUGAGCCAAAUCCUUUUAGCUCACACAUUGGUUAAACCUUGAGCAACAAUAAUUUUAUUACUUGUCUAACAUUUUUUUUAGUCAUUGAUAUUCUCGCAACAAAUGCUUAAAACUCGCCAAACAGAAUAGAAAAACAAAACUUAUUCAACAAAGUAAGGAUAAAAUUUAGCUACAAUUUUUUGCGUACCUUCAGUAUUAAAUUUUAAAUUAAAAUUAAUGCUUUUAUCUUUAGAAUUAAACUCUAUUGUAAUCAAAAGAAUACUAAAAAGACUUUAAAAAUUGCAUCUAAGUUUUGUCCUAUAAUAUCCUCAUUCAUCAAAUUGACACUAAAGUGUAUUGGUUCCUGCAAAUCGUGCUAGGAUGUGUGGGAGAAUCGAUACCUGUACAAAAAUGCGAUAGAGACAUAUGUGGUGGUAUAUGAACUAGUACUAUUGCUCCACUAUAAAGAAGCCCAAACCAUCUAAUUGAGCGAAACCAAAAUGCAGAUAAAUUAGCACAAAAUUUGGAAUGCGACAAAAUAAUAAUCAAGGAGAAAACUAAAUACCUUAAUGCGUACUUAUUAUUAAUUAACUAUAUGAUCCCUUCAGAAGCUAAACAGUACAACUAAUAGGAUUGGACUCAUUGAAGACCAUAAUCAAUCAAAAUGCAACAACUGUUGUGCUAUAUAUAAAAUAAGUGGCAAAACAAGAUCAUGAAUACUAGUAGGUAUUGAGGAAAAUAGAUUUGACCAACUCACUACUUAUGAGUAAUCAAUCAGUGUCUUUUCUCUGUUACCCAACGGGGACCCAUGAUGAGAAUGGGUCACAUUUUUCUGUUUCCUCAGCGAAAUACCUAUUAUUAUUUAUAGAUUUUAUUAUCUUCUAACCAUAUUAAUUUAUAUUAUAUUAAAUUAAAAUAAUUUUUUGAAUAAUUUAAUUUCAUAAUUUAUUUCCCUGGAAGGAAGACUACACGCCAUUUUUAUUUUUCUUUUGUAAAAUUUUAAAUUCGUAUAUUUUUAAUAUCUUUGUGAAAUAAGUAUAAGUAUCUAUUUUAUAAUUUAAAAUAUUUUCUUUUAAAAUUUUCAAUUUAGCUUUUUUAUGUGAGUUUAAAAAUAUUGCAAAAAUAUAUAUAUANNNNNNNNNNNNNNNNNNNNNNNNNNNNNNNNNNNNNNNNNNNNNNNNNNNNNNNNNNNNNNNNNNNNNNNNNNNNNNNNNNNNNNNNNNNNNNNNNNNNAUAUAUAUAUAUAUAUAUAUAUAUAUAUAUAUAUAUAUAUAUAUAUAUAAAGUUACACCUUAUAAUUUCAUAUCGUUUAGGAGUCAAAAUUAAUGUUAGUUUAUAAAUACCUUUAUUUUUUAAUAAUUUGAAGUGUCUUUUAAUGAUAAUAUGUGGGGCUUAAUUUUUUCACCUUAACUCAAUUUUGGUCUUAAACAAAUAAUUGAGCUUAAUUGAUAAUUGUUACGUAUUUUUGAAUUUUGUGCUUAUUUGAUCUAUCUUUCUUGUGUAGGACCUAUAAGACGCUACAAAACUCCAAAUGAAGCAUAUGAGUAGUUCCUAGAGAAAAGAGCUAUAAUCUUGUCAAAAAUAAUCUUGGGCCAAUUCUACCGUUUUAAGGGUCAUUUUAGGCUUCGAAGUUAGAGCCUCAACACUUGGAUAAUUAGGCUACAAAAUUUGGUUUUGCAUUGUGUAAUUAGCUUAAUUAGAUUGAUUAGUUGAGCCUAAUCAAGGCCCAUCCUUUCCUUUUGAUUAGUCAUAAUAUAUAUUAGUGUAGUUAGUUAGUUAGAAUUGUAAUACCUUGAAAUUUCGCUAACUGUAAAUUGAUGAUUAAUGUAUUCCUCGUGUUAUUUGAUUAUGUGAUUGAUUUGGAUGAGUUGAGAUAUUUUGUGAAUUAGCCAUGUGUGAUUUGCUUAAUGCGGAUGUUGAGUUAUGUGGAGUUUUAUUGACUUAGGUUGAAAUUAUGAGAUUUCAAGUUUUACCUAAACCUAUUCGGGCAAAACCGUUAUUCCAGACUUGUUAACUAUUAGAUCGCCUUAAAAUUUGAACUGUAGGUUCCUAACCCAGGUCUUCAUGUUUAGACUAUUUGAAUUUGCAAAAUAAUUUUUUUUGACAUCUCACUGAGCACAUUAAGCGCAAUUCCAACCUAUCGCAACCUACCCUACGAUGGGAUGAUGAAAGCAAAAUAGGUAAGCCAAGGCGUUCGUCUCCAAGGGAGAAAAAGUGUGGAGUCGCCACCAACAUUUAUUCGAGAAAAACGUUAGAAAAACCAAAAAGGAGUCUGCAAAUUUUAAAAAUUAGGGUUCGGGAGUUGUUUACACAUGGGGAAGGUAUUAGCUCCCCAUGUGCCCGUCACAAGGGACGACUGCCUUUAAUUGAGUGUGCAAAAAUGUGAUUUCAAUAUUAUUUACUUUCCAUUGUAUAUUUUUUAUUUUUUGGGGUAAACAAGGGUAUUGACCUUGCUUCUACGUAUCCUUAGGUGUGAUGAGGAAUUUAAACCUACGUAGUUCUUUAAGUCUGAAUGUUUAUGUGUUAAAUUGAUUUUAUGUUUUUGAAGAUUCAUUUUAAUUGCGAACAAAAAGUCGUUUAAGGCGUUAGACCUUGAAACAAUGUUUUAAAUUUUGAAAAGUAAAGAGAAUCGUUAAGGCGUUGGACCUUGAAACGAUCUUUUAAAUUUGAAAAGCAGAGAGAAUCGUUAGGGCGUUGGAGCUUGAAACAAUCUCAAGUGAUAUUUGAUGAAAUGAAGUUAGUUAUGAGUUGGUUUUACUGUUGGUUUUAUUAACUUUCAAUGUCUUUAGAAGACAACUUUGCGGCGCUAAUGAUCGAUUAAGAUUGAGCUUUACAAAAAAGAAAAUAGAUUACUGAUGAUAGAAGGAGGAAAUGAAUAUGCACAAAACAACAAAAGGGACCACUAAGGGUACACAAAUCACAUUCAAAUCUUUAAAAAUAAAAACUAACCGAUGGUCACACGAAGAACACAAAACAAGAAAGGAAGUAAGGAAUGAUUGCAAUCGCGAUUUGGUAGCGCCUCAGCCUCAUUUCUUCUUCUUCCUUCUUCUUCUAUCUUAUUUCUCUCAAUUCCCUCACCUUUUGGAGCUUGGAACCUCUCCUCAGCCUCCCUAGCAUGCCUAUUUAUAGGAAAAAGGGGACUUAGGACCAUGGCAACUCGCCCAGGCAAGCCAAGACUUACACCUGAAGUAACUGGCUCGCCCAGGCGAGCUACAGCUCACCCAGGCGAGCUGGUUCCUUUAGGCUAAAGUCUUCUGAGGGCCCAAGCGAGCUAGAGGCUAGCCUGGGCGAGCCAGGGUCUAGAAAACUUAGCAAAAAGACCCUUUUGCCCCUUCUUUUUGGUAUCUUUUGCAUUCUUGAUCAAAAUGUUGAACGAUCUCUCAUUUUGUGCGGUAACUGGCAUCGAACAAUGCAGUUUGGCUAGCGAGAAUCAAAACAUCAAUGAACGAUAGUCCCUGAAUAAAAUUAGGGUAUGAUAGUUUCCCUUCUUUACUUAUCUUUUAUUGGAAAUAAAAGGGAAGUAAAGAUAAGGACACUAAUUUUGUUCGAGCGACCUUGCUAUUUGACAGGGCAACCGGCGAAAACCAAGGAAGAAAAACAUGUAAUCAAAAGGACAUUGAAGUCCUAUAAAACGUAAAAUGGACUUUUCUAUUCAUGACAAGCUCCGAAACUAUAUUGUUAGAUCUGGAUGACCAUUCGCACCUACCUUGGAUUUUGAUGUUUACAAAAUGUAUAAAUUGUUGAUAAUUUUAUGAGUUAAUUGUUAUCUACAUAUCUCAUUCAUACUCAAAGUGAAAAAAAUUCUGAUAAGUAUUUACUAGCAUCCAAUACGGUAUAAAACUAAGAGUGUCCACUCGAUAUAAUAACCAAUAUUAUACACUAAGUAUGAUCAGCAUCAUGUCCAGUUGGUAUAAGUCUCUUACUCACUAUUAUGACGUCUGUGACACCCUCUACCCUGACAUAUAUAUAAAUAAAUAGAAUAUAUAAAAAUAUCGGUAAACAAAUUCACGUGGGUAAAAGAUUCACAUUCACUUCACUAUUAUCAAUUAAAACUUAUUAAAAACAUAUUCGACUCAAAAUAAGGCUGUCAAAAUUUAUAAAAAUAUUUUGUUAAAUUAGUCAAGUAAAAUAAAAUAGACUAACAUCAUGCAAUUAAUAUAAAAACUUAAGCCCCAAUGUCAUAUCCUAUCAGAGCAUUGUGUUUCGAUGUCCUUCAGCACAAGAUUCCUUAAAGCAAUUCACCUAGUCAUCUGCUUCCCCAAACACAAAGUUCAAGAUCAUCACAAGAUCCAAACACAAACAACACACGGGGAGUGAGUUAUCACAUUCCUAACUAAUAGAGAAGCAAGACAACUAGAUAUACAUAUCAUAUAAACAAAAUAAAAUUUACUUAAACAUAACUCACAUAAUUCCACUACUUUGUUAUUUAAAAUUCACUUUUCAAUCGUCAAUCACAUUACACAAGAAUCACACUCCGAUCAAGACAUAAUAACACAUCAAUUUCAUAAUAAAAAAUUAGCAAGCAUAUGAAACAAUUAUGCUAAGACUCAAGCCUAUAUGCAAUGUGGUACCAUGUCAGUAAAAAACCACCCUGGGCACUUAGGAGUACAUAACAAGACACAUCACACAAUGAGUAUGUCAGGUCACUCUCACUAAGUAAAAUCAUAGGGAGACCAGUUAGGGUCACGCUGCUUUGCAAGAAUGCUCCAACCAUGUGGGAUCGGCACAGCCUUAAAAGAGCACUCACCAGGUGACCCCCAAGGCCUACACUCUAAAGAGUCCGUCAGGGCCUCUCCUUCCUGAUUCAGGUCUAACCCCUAAAAUAAUUUUUGCAUGCAUACAAUGCUCAAGAAUUAUACAAUACUCACGACCUCACACUCAUGUUUUAAACACCUUUAACACAAUUGCACUAUAAUUUAACACUGGUUCCUAAAUAGGAAACCUACACUUUCUCUUUAACACUUUUCUCAAGAUAACACUGGUCAGGUUAUUGUACAAUUCGAAGCUUACAACAACAUGUUAUUUCAUAAUUCAUCACAUAUUUCAUUUAUAAACACUGCUUAUGAAUUAUACAAUACUCAUGACCUCACACUUGUGUUUCAAACAUGUUUAAUACAUUGUGUUACAAUUUAACACUGGUUCCUAAAUAGGAAACCUACACUUUCUCUUUAACAUUAUGCUUCAACAUUUUUCUCAAUGUCAACACUAGUCGAGUUAUUGUAUAAUUCAUAGCUCACAUCUCAAUACACACAUCUCAAUACACAUGUACCUCAAAUCUAACCAUAAUAUUCUCAAACUCCAACACUUGAAUAAUUUUUGGAAUCACACUAUAACAACAAUACAAUAUUAUUUACAUAAAAUAUUAAUAUAUAUAUAUAUAUAUAUAUAUAUAUAUAUAUAUAUAUAUAUAUAUAUAUAUAUAAUAACCAGCAACAUACAUCAUAUUGGAUCAUAAAUUUCAAAGUAAGCUUUCAAUGUACCAAUUCUAAAUAAUCAUAUGAACACUUUCCCAUAUAUAUAAGUAUACAUGAAUUCAUAUAUAUUAUCUAAGAAUACAACACACAGUCUACUAAAAAUCUUUGAUCAAUUUCAAAUAUAAUAUUAAUUUUAAACUAUAAAAAAACCUAAAAAGCAUGAAAAGGAGAAAAUACAAAAUCAAUAUUUCACUCCCUCUUACGCUAAAUCUCUAUUUACUUAAUUUCAUCAAUUCAUGCUAAUUAGACAAAGGUUCAAUUUAUAGGGUUCACACUCAACACAAGAAUACAUCAAUUUCAUAGCAAUUUCUCAUUGGGACAUAAAAUUGUUCAUCAAACGUAUAUAAUUCACACUAAUAAUUAUAAGGAUAGAAUAAAAAAUUGCGGAAACACUCCAAAACUCAUUCCAAUUGAUACUCUAAGGAUCCCUAUACAUUUUCUCACUAAUCCCCAAUUGUGAAUAACUCAUCCCUUACCUCUAAGUGGGCUCACAUUCCGGCAGCAAUAGCAACAUCUCUAACAAUUUCCUGAGAUUCCUCAAGUUUUUCCUCUAGUUGCUCUGAUAGGAUUCCCAAACUUUAGAGAGAAUGAGAAGGGAUUGAAGCCUCCAUUUAUACUGUCUUCGUGCGAUUCUUUUUCUCCGUCCAUGAAUAUUAUCUUGCAAAUCCCAACGGUAAAGGUGUGUGCAAUUGAAUCACAAACCGCAUAUAAAUUUUUCAUGACAAUCCAACGGUUAACGAGUCCAGGAUAAUAGUUUUACCAAGAAAACUCUGGGUUUCUGUGGGGAAAGGAAAAGACUACGAUGCGAAGUGUAUUUUUCUCAGCUCCAACAUUAUUUCAAACUUCCCAACGGUAAAAAGACUUGGAAUUGAGUUGCAAACCUGUUUCUUAAAUUUCAUGAUUAUCCAACGGUGAAUGAGUCUGAGAUCGUAGUUUUUCUGAGAUAGAUUUGGUGGUCUACGGGAAAAAGAUAGAGUUUUGGGAGGAGAAGAGAGAAAAACAAAAAUGAGGGGAAGAUGAGGCAUCGUCGAAUACUAGCAACAAAUUUUUCUAUAGAAAUUUUUGAACUGGAAUUGAUGAACAACCAAUAUAAAUAAUAGUGUUUAUUAGUAUAAAAUCGAAAAUGGGGCGUGGCCAAGUGGUAAGGCAACGGGUUUUGGUCCCGCUAUUGGGAGGUUUGAAUCCUUCCGUCCGAGAGCAUAUCCAUUCAUGAUGUAUAUCAUAUUGGAAUACAAAUUGUAUAUCAGAAUUAAAAUUAUCUCCCUUUUUGAAUUAUUCGUCUCCAAUCUAAAUCGACUUGCUUUCAAAUAUGUGGAUUAAAAAACAAGUCGAGUUUUUGUAACAUAUCACUAUUUAUACCUAGGGUGUUCACAGCUUAUUAUUUACUCUAUUUAUUUAUUUUUAUUAUUUUAUAAAAAAUAACUCUAUUUUAUUUCCUAUCAAAUGAAUAUAUAUAUAUAUAUAUAUAUAUAUAUAUAUAUAUAUAUAUAUAUAUAUAUAUAUAUUCAAAGCAUUAUUUAAUUAAAACUAUUUUUCUUUAUUUAUUUAAUUAUAAAAACUUCAUCGUUCUCUAAAUAUUUAUUUAUUUAUUUUUACUAAAAAAACAUUCUUAAUUUAUUUAUGAAAAAUGAGAUGUUACAACGUCUAAUGUAGUAUGAAAAGAUUAUGCUAGCCAAAAAGGGAAAUACACGUAUUCUCGCUCAUAAAAAUUAAUUUUAUCUCUCUUUAUUUGAAUUGCUAACAUUUGAAUUUAAGGAAAUGACAAAAUAGAAGAGAAAAGAAGGUUUAUACAAAAUAUUCAUCUAGGGUUCGUCGAGGACAAAAAGCACAUGUUGUUGUUUGUACCUUUAUUCCUUUCCUCUAGAAUGAUUAUCAAUGAUGUCAAGUGUAGUAGUUGAUUGUGUCAAGAGUGAUAGUCAGUGGUGUUAAGUGCUAUAGUCAUUUAAGUGUGAUAGUUAUGCGCUCUAAGGCAUUGGAAGUGUUGUUUGCCUUGAAAAACCACACACCAUGGUUAUGUAAGUCUUAUGCUUUAUGUUGUUUGUGGUGUUUGAGGAGUGGAUGACUCAGCCUUAUUACCAACUACUUUCUGGUACCGACGUCAAAGGAUACCGUGAUGAUCUCAUGCCUGUGGAGAUAGAGGAGUAUGGAGAGGUGUUGUGACAGUUAGAGCCUUCAUCAAAGGAGGAUGAAGAUGAUCCUUUCGAGGAUUUGUCUUAGAUACAAUUCAGUACUUUGGGUCAGGUAGAUUUAUGCUCUGAGACCUAGGUUUUUUUUUCAAUGUAUCUAUUUUAGAGUUGGAUGUACCUAGGUUCAGAUAGUCAUAUUUAUUAUAUAUUUACAUGUUAUACUUACUUUCAUACAUUUAUGGGUUGUAAUUACAUUUUGUUUUUCCUGUGACACGAUACUAUGGUACCUUUUAUUAUGUAUAAAAACUGUUAUUUCACCCUUGUAUUUAAUUAUUCUGUUGCAAGGUUCAUAUCUUUCUGAAUGUCGUGUUUAUUGUAAAACAUGUUACAAAAAAUUAUUAAUUAUAUCGACUUUCAAGAAAUGAAGUUAAUGUGAUUUUAUAUUUUUUAAUGACCUUUUAUAAUGGUAAAAUUUAUUCACACGAGUUUUAAAGUUUAUCCGCAUAUGUUUUCAAGAAGAAAAUAUUACUCGAGUUUGGAAGAAAGUAUUAAUUUAUUGACACAUAUUCCAAGAAUUAAUAGAAUUAAUGGGAGUCUUUGAAGCUAUGUUUUUGAACUAGAAACAAAGGUAUUACAAAGAUGAGAUCUAUUGUGAUAAACUUGCUCUAACUCAAAGGAAGUGAUUUUUGUUGUAGUGCUCAACACGAAAGCCAACCAAAGUGGUUUUACCAUAUGAAGAAGCAUGUGCAUUAAAUGUAAGUAUUAAAUGCUCCAAUGAUAGGAAAAUUAUAUCCAUUUAGAGACAACUGACACUUUAAAAUGAAGGCCUAUAAAUGCCCAAAGCUUUGAAUAAAUGAGCUACAAACCUACACGUUAGCAUUCAAAUUCUUUUUGUAAAAUGCUCUUUGUACAUUCUCUCAAAGUUUGAAAAGCUCUCAAAACACCUUAAAUACCUUUAGAGAAAAGACUAAGUGUUUAGAUUCCAUAUCCGUUUAUAAGACGAUUAGAGUUGGUAGUGUGCAGGCAAACCACAUAUCUUUUGAUUUGAUUAGAGUUAGUAAUAGUUUGGUAGGAUAAAAAAUACUAGGUUGUUUGAAGUUUGGUGUAGAACUUGAGUUGUAGAGUUGGCAGUGACAGUAAGUCAGUAACAUAAUACUUGCAACUAUAAAAUUAGUGGACUUGUGAUUUACAAAAAACUAGAUGUGGUCCUCGUGGUUAAGACGAACUAGUAUAUUUUUUUGUGUAUGUUUAUUUCCUUGCUCUCAUUUAUUUAAACUAACUUAGGGUUUGAAUUUGAUUUUGUUUUAAAAACACAUAUCGUCCUACAAAAUAUUUUUUAUCAUCUGGACAAGUUCUGUGAAAAUUUGUUAUCUGCUUUGCAAAGUAAUAUUUUAGAUGAUAACUUUGUUUUUCACGAAAAAGACUUUAUUUUUUCGAAAUUCACAAUUUAAUCUCCCUUCUUUUGAUAUUUUUCUUUACAGAUAUCAUAACUUAGUCUCUUAGGGUUGAACACUUAAUCGUGUAUGGAAUAAAAUAUCAUGAUGGCAAAUAAUGAUAACAAUGAUCAAUUCAUUAUUAAAGGAGCUUCUCUCAUAAGGCUGCUAGGCUUUAUAGGAAAAGUCUAUCCUUAGUGAAAGGACAUAAUAAAGUGAAAUGAAAUAUAUAUAAUUUUUUAAUGUUGGAAGAAAAUAUUUUUACACAAAAUUAAGGAUUUAAGAAAGGAUAACCUUUAUGAUGUGGACACAUGGCUGACUAUGUGGCAUCGUAAACACAGUACAACGGUGUAUCGUAUCCGGGAAGCCGAGUUUCUGGUCAAUGGAAGUCAUCGGUGAAAACUGCAACCCAAUAAAGAGAGUAGAAAAUCACACUCUAUGCUGAAUAUAAAUAUUGUAGAAUGACUUAAUUAUUUUUUUAGUGUUGCAGUUUAUUUAUUUUGUUUAAUUUCAUCUUAUUGUUAAGAAAUGGUUCAAUUUAAUUUUUUUAAUUUUUAAAAUAGUUCAAUUAAAUUAUUUUAAAAUAAUAAAUUUUGUCUCUUAAUUUUUAAAAAUUAAUGUAAUUUCAUCAUUUUUGUCCAAUCAUAAACUUAACGAUGUAAGAUUUAUUUGGAAGAAAAAGAUUAAAUUAUAUUGAUUUAAAAUAUUAAAAGAUAAAAUUGAAUCAUUUUAAAAAUUAUGUAAUCAAGUUAAGUGGUUUAUUAAUAAUAAAAGGAAAAUUAAAUAAAAUAAAUAAACAAUGGGAUGCAGGGGAGGAAGCACAUUGGAGACUACGGGAGCAAUUGCCCCACUGAAUAAUUAAUUUUUUUUGCUCUCAUAGAAAAUUAAGAUUGCUCCCAUAAAAUACUUUUUUUAAGAAAAAGAAUGUAAAAAAUUAUUAAAAAUAAAAGAAAAAAAAUUGAUACUAAAUUUAUUAAUUUUAUCUUUUUAAAUUUCUAGAAACUUAAAUAUUUUGAUACUUUUUUAUCAUAAGAUUCUCUAUUUGUAAAUAUUUAUAAUAUUUUUUGUCAGUAAAAAAUAGAUUUAAUUAAAUUUUUCAUAUUUGAAAUAUAAGUUGUUUUCAUAUUACUAUCUAACAUUAUUUUUUUUUCAAUCAAGUAUAUGAAAAUAUUUUUUUUUUCAUUUUAUCACCUAAUAGUUAGUCAUCGUCCGUUAAGUAAUGACGUUCAGACGAAGUACCACGUCAUCAUAUCUUCUCAUGGAUGUCUCAUUAUCAUGUCAUCACCUUCAAUGACAUAUCAGGAAUUAGCCAUGAUGACAUGACACCCUAUCUAUAAUGUUAACACUUAACGAAAUAAUUAACGAUAUGUAAUAAAAUAAAAUUGAAUUUUUUUUCUGGUUGGUUUUACAAAAAAUGAAUUUUUAGGUAAUAAUCUGAAAACGACAUAUUUUUCCAAGUAUAAAAACUUAUUUAAUAUAUGACAUGAAAACUUAUUUAAAUCAUAUAUUAAAUAAGUUUUUCAUAUUUGAAAAACAUGUCGUUUUCAGCUUAUUACCUAAAAAUGCAUUUUUUUUUUGUCAAAUAUCUACCUUAAAAAUAUUUCUGUUUCAUUUCACUACAUGUCGUUGAUUCUCUCCGUUAAGUAUUGACAUGACAGACAGAUUGUCACAUCAUUACGUCCAAUCAAUGACACGUCAUUAAAGAUGGUGGUGUGACAAUAAAAUAUCCGUGGAGAGCGUGAUUAUGUGACACUAUCACAUUAUCACUUAAGCGACGAUUAACAACACUUAGUAAAUGAAAUUUCAAUUUUUUUAUAUAGUUGGUUGAAAAAAAUAAAUAUUAGAUAGUAAUUUAAAAAUAAUUUAUAUUUCAUGUAUGUAUGAAAAACUUAACAAUGAAAUUAUUAUAUAUUAAUUUUUUUUGUCCCAACUAAAAAAGUUUUCAGGAUCCGUGAAUGAUGGGAUGAAAUAAAUAAUUAAUUCUAUUAGAAUACAAGAGUUCAUAGUGUAAAUUAAUGCUAUGAUAUUGAAUAUAUUAAUUUUCAAUUGAUAAAAUUUAUAUUCAUAGUUUCUAUAUAUAUAUAUAUAUCCUAGUCAACGUAAUUAUUACGUUUGAAAGAUUAUUUUUUAAGGAUAUAAACAUACGUAUAUUUAAUUGUAAUUAUUUACAUUAAAUAUAAGCACACCGCCGCCGCCAGCUACUAGCCGCCAUAGUAUUAUUUUUUAUUUGUGUACUCGUGUUAUUUAUUGAUUUGUUGCUUUACACUUUAACUGUAACUGUUAGGCCAAAUUCAGCGUCUGUUUAUUUUAAAAUCUUAUAUGAUUAAAUUUAAUAAUUUUUUUCAGUUAAAAAUGUUUGAUAGAAUUAUUUUCUAAAAACAUUUUAAACUGUCUACUUGCAUUAAUUUAAACUAAAAAUCUUAUAAUAAAAAUGUAAUAUAAUGUUAAUCAUAAUAAUCUGUGAAUUAACAAUUCAAAUCCUUAUACAAUAAAGUCUAUUUUCAGUUUUUUCUUUCUUUCAAUUUUUCAUGUCACAACGUUUGAAGCGCAGUGCCAUGUCUACACGUACUCAAAAUGUGACCCGUUCAAUGAGUGCUUAGCUUGCACUAGUUCCAUGAAGUUUCAUCGAAGCAACUAUUCUAUUUUUAAUUAUUUUUUGGUUGAACCUGAAAUUGACGACUCUGCCUCUUCUGCUAACUGUGGCAUAGCCGUGGACAUUUUCUUAUUCUUGGUUAAACUUAAAUCAGAUAAAUACUUCCAAUUUCGAGACUUCUCGUUCACACCCUUUUUCAUCUUCUUUUGUUUUUUCUUCAUGAAUUUUGUUGGUUUGGUCUAACAAAAUAGUUUUUCAUCAUGGGAAACGCUUGUGCAAAAGGAAAACCAGUUGCUCAUGUUUCUUCCUCCAAUUUCUCUGGUUAGUUUCUCUUCAAUUUAAUCAUUUUUAUCUGGGGCCCUUUCUUAUUUGGUUUUAUUUGAUGCCACCAUGUGUGUUUCCCUUCAUUUGUGCACUAAUCAUGUAACCUGGUUUAAAUUUGACUUUUUGGUGGUUGUGUAUGAUGAGUGUUUUCACUUUUUCUCUUUAGUUUCUGAAGUAUAUAACUGUUGUUCAUGAGAUGUAACACUUCAAGAUUAUAGGCUGUUCGAUUUAUUUGUUGUUGUCUAAUCCUUGGGAUUAAAAAAUGAAGAUUCUGAGGUUGCCUUGCAUUGAGGUUGCAAAGUAUGGUGUACAAUUUUACAGUUUAGGAGAUACUUUAUUUGGAAUCAUGGUUUUAAAUUGUAGUCAGCAACCGCAAUUGCAGCUGCAAUGUAAAGGUUUUUUUACUCACUAUGACCACAUUUGCAGCUGUAUCGGCCGCAUUUUCCUCCAAUUUUUCAUAAUGUCAUGGAUUGACGAAAUUGCAACUGUGACUAUUGAGUCUAUGACUGCUAUUCAAAACCAUGCUUGGAAUUAAUUAAAAUCCCUUCCAUUUGCUUUGUUGUCAAGAAUAAGGCAUCAACGAAUAAGGUUAUUACAUGUUUUGACGAAGGCAAGGAAAUUUAUACUUCAGAGUUCUGACAAGUUAGUGGAGCCAUGUGUGUCAAUUUUUUAUGUGAUAUUGUUAAAGCUUAUACUUUGUUGUCUAUGUUAAUUGCAAAUUAUAAGCACUAGCAUUGCUCCAUAACUUCUUUGUCAAUUUUAGGAUAAGAUAUUUCCUUACACUAGCAUUACAAGCUUUUAGAAAGUUAAUCUCAUAGCUGCUUUUAACUUGCUUUUCAUCUAAUAACAGGAAGUAAGAAGCCUGCAAGUAAGCCAAAGCAGUAUUCAAAUUCUUCUGAACAACGAUCUGCUCCAACAACUUCAGAAUUAAAUGUUCCCAAAUCCAUCUCCAGUAACCUUAAGUCCUUCAGCUUGAAUGAUCUAAAAGAGGCAACUAAGAACUUCCGGCGAGAAAAUUUAAUCGGAGAGGGAGGAUUUGGGCGUGUCUUCAAAGGAUGGAUUGAUGAGAACACAUACGGUCCUACAAAACCAGGCACUGGAAUUGUAGUGGCCAUUAAAAAUCUUAAGCCAGAAAGCUUCCAAGGCCACAAGGAAUGGCUUGUAUGUGUAACAAGAACCAUAAGCCAACGCAGUUUAAUUUUUGGUCUUGCUUGCUACUGAUGACUAAUUUUGCAAUCUUUGUGCUGGCAGCAAGAAGUGAAUUAUCUUGGGAUGCUUCAGCAUGAAAAUUUGGUGAAACUUAUUGGUUAUUGCUUGGAAGGUAAAAACCGGCUUCUGGUUUAUGAGUUCAUGCAAAAAGGAAGUUUGGAGAAUCAUUUAUUCAGAAGUAAGUACAUUUCACUCUAAGUCUAAGCAUAUUUGUUCUCUCAGUUGUCCCACUUCCCGUCCCUAUCUUGAUAUUUCAGUAGUUUUUGUACAGAAGGAAAGAGUAUAAUAAAGACAUUUUUAAUGAAUUACAUGAUUGUGUGUAGACAUUUCAGGGAUACCUGCAAAUGUUAUUUAUGCUUUUCAAAAGAUGAUUAUUGGGAUUAUUUAUUUGGUUAUGUGAUUUUGAUUCCCAACAUUGAUUUUGUUUUAAAUAUUUUAGAAUACUAUUUUGAACAGAACCAUGACUGCUAUUUAUUCAUCAUAUUCAUACCUUAAAAUUUUGUAUUCUAUUUCUGCAGAAGGUGUUCAACCUAUGGCCUGGGUUACAAGGGUCAACAUUGCAAUUGGUGUUGCAAGAGGAUUAACAUUCUUACAUUCCCUGGAUCAAAAUGUUAUCUUUCGUGAUUUAAAGGCUUCCAAUAUCCUACUUGAUUCGGUAUGUGAUAUUAAAAGUUUGGUCAGUCAUUUUGUAACGACUGGUUUAUGUGAGUUUCCAUUCUGAAAGAGUAGCCUAAUGGAUAUGCAGGACUUCAAUGCAAAGCUUUCGGAUUUCGGCUUGGCAAGAGAUGGUCCUACUGGAGAUAAUACUCACGUUUCAACUAGAGUUAUAGGAACUCAAGGGUAUGCUGCACCAGAGUAUGUUGCUACAGGUAUAGUUCCUUUGUCUUGAUCAAAGUGUUGAGAUCUAAAUUUAGCUCAGACUAGUUGUUUUUUUAGUUAAAAUUGUUUCCAAUAUAUCUUUCUAUUGUUUUUACUUAUUUUGUUUCUUCUAGAUACUAAUUCAUAAAAUAAAUAAUUCCAUAAUUCACUUUGAUGUCAUUUUAUUUAUUCUCCCUUUUCUUCUAGUUCUGUUCCAGGAUGAAAAAAUAAUAAUAAACUAGGUUCUUCCAUGCUGCUUGUUAACAUUCUCACCAAGGCAGACCGGUAGCUUAAAACUGUCACACAAAUGAUUUUAAGAAUUGCUGGUUAUGCAGUUUAACUGAAAUAUAUAGGAACUGGCAGAGCAUAUUUGCUUUACAAUUCCAAAAUUUUCAUAAACCAACUAUCCUGAAAGCUUAAACUGUUCGGUUUCAGACAUGAAUAUUGUUACAUUUCUAACAUGGCCCUUCAUGUAAUAGCCCCUUGGGCUUAAAGUGUGUGUGGAAUGUAUUAGAAUCCAUUAGUAGGCCAUAUGUCAACCACACAAGUGAAUUUGGCAUUAUAUCCACCCAAAGCCUUAAAACAUUAGGUAUAUGAGUUGUUAUUUAUAUGUUGCUCAAAAUGUAUCCAUCUCUGUCUAAUGUGAGACUUAUUACUCACACUUACACUCAUCCAAUAAAUGAACAGCCCCACCCACCUUGUGAAGAAAUUAAAUCUUCUAUUAGAAGAAUGGAGACAGCAAGUAUCGAAUUCUUGACCACUUAGUCAUAGAGGCUUUGAUAUCUGUCAUGAACCAACUACAUCAAAAGCUUAACCUGUUAGGUGAAAGAUACAUGAGAAGUUUUAUAUUAUAACUCUAGCAAAACUGUUUUGGGAUCCUUUAGUAACUCUAAUUGAAACUCUUAUUUGCAAUUUUUCCAUGUGCAUAUUUUUUUAAAUAAAAUUUAAUGAUCAUCUAUUUGCUUAUUUUUAAGUUGGAUUUUAAAUUAAUGAACAGGUCAUUUGACCCCAAGGAGUGAUGUAUACAGCUUUGGUGUAGUCUUGUUAGAAUUACUAACCGGAAGGCGUGCGGUGGAAGACGAUGGACCUGGAUUUUCGGAGGAGACCCUGGUGGAUUGGGCAAAGCCAUUCUUAAAUGAUAACAGAAGAGUUCUGAGAAUAAUGGAUACAAGAUUGGGGGGUCAAUACUCCAAGAAAGGAGCACAAGCUGCAGCUGCACUUGCAUUGCAAUGCCUUAACACUGACCCCAAAUUUAGACCACCUAUGGUGGAAGUUCUAGCAGCAUUGGAAGCACUUAAUUCCUCAAAUUCAUUUACGCGGACACCGAAACAUGAGAGUCAUUCAACCAAAAUAUCUGGUGGUCCUUCACAAAAGUAAAAUGGAAAUGCAAAGUAUAUCUGAGCUACUUGGCUUGUUCUCUUUCACUUUUUGGGUGAAUACUUUCUAUAUUCAUCCGUAAAGAAAAGAACAUAAGAAUACUAUGUUAUACCCACAAAUGAUUUGUCCUUUCAUUUCUUUGCAUAUGCGAAGAAUUGCCAUCUUUGCGGGUUAUUGAGUGUAGAGUAUACAUUGUGGUAGCAGCUAUAGAUUCUUAUUACAUUGUAUGAAAUUUUUUAGCUUUUAGGAUGGCUAUAUACAAAUUUGGAAAAAAAAAAUUAAAGUUAAUAAUGGAUAUGUUUAAGCGGGUAUUUUUUUCUUCUUCGUAAGAUGUCUGCUUUGGAUAUAUAGCUUUACGCUUCAAUGUUUGGACUAAUUGUAUUAUAUCAAUCUGUUGGAAUACUACUUGUUGCGUAUGGAAGAGUGGCAACUGGCAACUCAAAAUCACAACAUAACGAGGUUUUUGUAUCCAUUGUUGUUAUUUUAAAACUCUUAAUUCAAAUUUUCUUUUCUCAUUUAAUUUAUUAUUGAAUCGUUUUUUUUCUUAAACGGUCUAUAUCUUAUACUUUUCUUAAAUGGUCUAUAUCUUAGAUUAUUGAAAUAAUAUUACAUUAAGCAGGAAAUUGGACCUAAUCUUAGUGGGAUUUAAGAAAAAAAUACCCACGAUGGAAGGAGAAUAACCCACCCACUAAAUUAAUGAGUUUGGGUCCGAGUACGGACAUGAGUGACGUAGGGAUACUUUAAAUAUUCACUUGCACAUAUUUAAUAUAUUACGUAAAAUAAUAUAUCUAUAUACUAUAUAUUAAAAGAGAAUCCUAAGUAAAAACCCUAACGUGCCCCUGCUUAAAAUUUUGACACAUGACAUUUUUGUUGGGUUUUGGGUCAUUUUGUGUGUCCAGUUUCCACUCCUUUGCUUGUGCCAUAUGUUUGUUGAUUAAACCAGUUUGCACUCCUUUGUUGUGCCACGUCGUUUGAUGAUUAAAGCUUUCGGGUCAUUAUGGUUUUGGGUUAGUGCUUUUUAUCAUCCCGUCAUUGUGGUUUUCGGGUGGUGCGUUCUAUUGGAUCACUUCUUCUUUUCCUCUUUGGUUACUUAUGCAUUUUAAGCUGUGAGUUUUUUAGUAUGGUAUGCGUGGCUGUUUUUGCGGCUGACUGCACCUAUUUUUCUACCUUUUUUCUCUUAUUUUUCACCUUUUAUUUUUGGUUCUUUGCUAACUUUCCUGCUUUGUUUUUGCCUGAGUUUGGUUUGUUUUUCAGUUUGGCUUUGCUAUGCUGUUCGGUUUUGUUUCCAGAAAUUAAGGUAAUACUUUUGCAACAACGUUGUUGUAUGUUUAUGCAUGCUUGUGUUUCACUUCUCACUGAUUGUUGGGAGAGUUAAGGUUGAUUCAUGUUGUGUGAUUUUUUCCACUUUGUUUUUGCUUCUUUUGCAACAACGUUGUUGUAUGUUUAUGCAUGUUUGCGUUUCACUUCUUACUGGUUGUUGGGAGAGUUAAGGUUGAUUCAUGUUGUGUGAUUUUUUCCACUUUGUUUUUGCUUCUUUGCUAACUUUGUUGAGUUCCCUGUUUUUCUGCCUUUUUUGUUAUACUUGCUGUAAGGGUCACUGAUCUUUGGUUCAUUGGGAUCCCCAAUAAGUCUGAACAAGCUGAAAUGGUUAUUGUUAAUUUUAAUGUAUGGUUUUAUUCCUUUUUUGGAUUGCUACAUUAUUGACCAUUCAAUCAACUAUUUAUAUACUUUGUAUAUUAUAGGGAGAUGAAAUUCAUGUUUUUUUGUAAACAAGAUCAGCUAAAGUCUUGGAAGGCUGAUUUGAAGGAAAAUUGUACUUAUGUCAUGCAUAAUUUUAAAGUGACGAAGAAUGAUGGUCAAUUCAGAGUUUGUGAUCAUCAAUAUAAAUUAAUUUUUACUGGAGUUAUUGUUGUAAGGCAAUCCGAUUUGGAUGACCUCCUUUUAGGAAAUUUAAAUUUGCGGAUUUUUCUAAUGUCAUUGCUGGUCAUUUUCAAACUGGCCUCUUGGUUUGUAGGUCCACCUACAAUUUGUGCAUUCAUUUUUAUUGACAAAUUUAUGGGUUUUAAAAUGACAUAUCUUUGCUUUUUGUUUCCUUAAGACAUUAUUGGCGUCCUUGAUGAAGUGGUGUUCCAGCAUGUCUAAUCAAAAAAUACCAGGAUUGUUUUUAAAGUGAAGGACCUGAGGUUAUGUUCUAGAAUUUGACUUUUUGUUAUCUGUGUAAUUGUUUUUUGUAUUUCAUGGUGAUUAUAAAUUGAGAUACUGAUAUAUUUAUUGUUGUUUGUUUCUCAUAGUGGCGAAGUGCUAUCUUGAACUCUUUGGGAAAAUUACUGCUUGCAAUUCUUAGCUUACUUGAAUGAGUUUGAAAAUGAUAGGCCAAUCAUUAUUCUUUUGACGUAUGCCAGAAUCAAAGAAGGACAGGGUAAGUCUAAUCUCAAAUUUGUCAAUUGUAAUGCUUAUUAAAUGACAUCUGCUCUUUUUCUUUUUUAGAAAUACAGGAUCAUAUCCACCCUCAGUGAGAAAUUCUUUGAAAGCGUCAAAGCUAAUGAUCAAUGAACUUGUGUUGGAAAUACAAGAAUUCAGUGAGAGGUCUUUUGUUAAUGUUGUUAGUUCUGUAUUUAAAAGUUUUAUCUAUUAAGUAUGUUGCUUAUGUUUUCCUACACUUUCGUAUUUAUUCUAUUCCUAUAGGCUUUCAGAUUUAGGUAUUGAGGUCAAGUCAGUUUUGACACCUCUUGGACAAGGCAGUUCACAGGUUUCAGGAUCAACUCAAUUAUCAUCAAAGGAUGCAUUUCUUUCAAAGGCUGAAGCAAAAACCAUUUGUCAGAUUAAUGCCAUUUUGGAGGUCAUGCUUUUAUUUAUAUUUAUUGUUUACCUAGGCUGAUUAAAACUCCAAUUAGGCUAGCCUUAUUCAAUUCUACCAUCACUUUGUACAAAAUUUAAUGCCAGCGUUUGUCAUGCAGGAAAUUGUUUGUGUUAUUGUGGGCACCAUUACAAGUAUAGUGAUGGAUAAUCAAUCAUGGUGUUACCUAGCUUGCAGUCAAUGCCACAAAAAAAACUAACAUACAGACUGUGCCAUUCACAUGUGCAUGUGGCAAAUACAAUGAUCAACUUGUACUAAGGUCAUUGGUUGCCUGCUCAAUUGGUAUGCACUUCAUUAAACACUCGUUUUUACGAUGUUAUCUACAUUGGCAAGUAUAGAAUUGAAGUGAUGGUUAACCACAAGGACGAAAAUACAAAAUUCUUACUCUGGGACCAUGAAUGUGCAAAUUUGAUUGGCCAAUCAGCCGAUGAAGUCAACAGGCUCAAAAUAGCAGUAUGUUAUUGUAUUAUCAUGCACUACUUCUUAAUCUACAAUCAGAUUUUGUUUAUUUGCUAUCCAAUUUCAUUGUAAAUAUUAAACCAUUGAAUUCUUUGUUGCGCAAGGAUGGUGAUGUUGAUUUGAACGCUUCUCCUCAGGCACUUGAUAGGCUGCUGGGUUGUGUCCUUGCAUUUAAAGUCAAGGUUCAACCAAAGUUCAAGAAUGUUGUUGUUCUUAAAUAUUCAAAUGAAUUAGAUUUGAUCAAUGUUGUGCUGGAUAUGCUUCCUGAUACUGAGGUAGUGUUUUGUCUCUUAUGUUUUAGUUGUUUUAAUAAUAGCAAUAUAUUCCAUAUGUUUGGUUACUCUCAAUUUAUAUAUCAUGCAAGCAUGUUCCAAGAUCGAUAGUCCAAUCCUUGACUCCAACAUUCCUACACAACUUGAAUCUGUAAGCUAAGAUUGUUCUUCUUUCUUUCAUUCUGAUGUAUUCUGCCAUGAUGGCAAUAAAAAAUAAACUCAUGCUAACUUUACAUUCAGCUUACUAAUUAGUUAAUGUUUUAUGCAGCAAUUUGUGUCUGUCACAGCAGAUCAUGACCCACUUCUAAGGAUUCCAUUAACACCCACAAAGCAGCUAUCAUCUGAUGAAUUGGAUGAUGAACCAAGAAGCUCUGAAAUUUCACCCGCCCAACAUUCUGCUAACAAAUUAGCAAGACAUCAUCAAAUUGAAUGAAUUUGCCUGCUUUGAAGUUUUCUAAGACAUUUUUAAAUCAUGUUAUCAUCAAGUUGUAAUAUUGGCCAAACAUUUAACAAUUUUGUUGUUGUGUCUCUAUGUAAAUUUUUAAAAAAUUGUUAUAUGUUAUGUGUUCCUAAGGUGGAAUGAAAAAAUGGCUUUUUUGAGUUUACCUUAUUUUGUUUGUUAAUAUUGUUGAAUUUCAAUUAUAUUUUCGAUAAGUUUUUCCAUUGUAAUCAAAAUUCUCAUCAAUAUACACAACUAAAGUUAACUAAUUAAUUAAGGUGACUUUUUUUGGCAAGGAAUUUAGAUUUUGGAUGUUAGGAUGCAGGUUGGUUUAAUUUUUACAUAUGUUGGCUUAACAGUUACCUAAGCUAACAUUCUAUAAUAAAAACACACUUUUUAUUAACUUUCAAAUUAAUUAUAAGUCAUUUAAAUCAACAAAAUUGACUCAUAUAUUACAUAUUAAAAAAUAAAUGCAAGGACACAACCCAGCAGCCUAUCAAGUGUCUGAGGAGAAGCGUUCAAAUCAACAUCACCAUCCUUGUGCAACAAAGAAUUCAAUGGUUUAAUAUUUGCAACGAAAUUGGAUAGCAAAUAAACAAAAUCUGAUUGUAGAUUAAGAAGCAGUUCAUGAUAAUACAAUAACAUACUGUUAUUUUUGGUGUUAUACACCUAGACCACUUUUCAUCCAAAUUUGUCUUCGCUUUUUUUCCCCAUGUUUUAAUAUAAUAAAUUCACCUGUAAUGAAAAUAAAUAGAACUCUCUAGAUUGACAACCUAUUGCUCCAUAGACAAUAUCUUUCAUGUCAAACUUUUCUGCAGUGCCACCAACCCAUGCCUCUACAUGGAAAUGCAAUGAUUCCUACAUACCAAAUUUUUCCAGUUGUCAAUGUUUGACUAUAGUUUUAGCCCCUCAUUUCUAAAUUGCAUAUUUGAUAUUUACCAUCUCUUACUUCAUGUCAAUAAACAUUUGUUUAUUCAGUCACCUAAUCUAAUGUAUAGACAACUCUAAUUUACCAGACCCACUGUAGUGCUUGGUAGAAACAAUUUGUGAUUAAAUAUUGUCUUUAGUUGUCUAUUUCAUCUUUUAUUCGAAGUUGAAUUGCAAAUGCUCCACCUUUAAUCAUGCAAAUCAAUCAAGUAGCUACCUCUAGAUUCACAACCUACUCCUCUACAUAUAAUAUCUUUCAUUUUAGAUUUACCACGAAUCCCAGAUGCCAUAUUUCUGCAUGCAAGUCCCAUCAUUCUUAUAUGGCCCAUUUUCCAAGCUAUUAAAAUUGAACUACAGUUUUGUGCCUGAUUUGCCAUUUCUAUGAUCUUGAAAAUUUGUUCCAUCUGCUACAGAUUUAAAUUAAUAUUCUCUUAGUACGUUUCAAACAAUAUAUGUUGUUGAAUUUAUAACUCAAUCGGCUUCAUAAUACCCAUUUUUAACAUGCAAAACCAUGCUUAUACUUUUGACACGUUAAAGAUCUCAUCAUUCUUAUAUGGCCCAUUUUCCAAACUAUUAAUAUUGAACUACAAUUUUUCCUCGAUUUUGCCAAUCAUCUUCAUCAACACCAAUAUUCAACAUGCAAAACUAGGGAAAUGCAAACCCAUUUAAUUCAGUCAAAGUCAGGAUCAAUAGGAAAACAUAUCAUGCGAGAAAAAAAAUGCUCAGGCUCAGGCACCUCUGCUGGCAACUAUAGACUCCACUUAUUUUAAUUAAUAUUAUCUUAGUACAUUUCAAAACUAAAUGUUGUUGAAUUUAUAACCCAAUCAGCUUCAUCAACACCAAUAUUCAACAUGCAAAACCAGGGACAUGCAAACCCAUCUAAUUCAGUAAAAGUCAGGAUCAACAAGAAACAUAUCAUGCAAGAAAAAAGAAAUGCCCAGGCUCAGGCACCUCUGCAGGCAACUAUAGACUCCACUUUGCAGUAUACAAAAUAUGAUGGCAAGGAAUUAUAUAUACCAUGUUAAAAAAAAUACAUUACAUCAUUCAAUUUAACUUUGAUUUGUCUCUAUCUUUAAGUGAUGGCAACUGAUUCAUUAGAAGAUCUAAAUUUUGAAUCCACACAAGGUACCGUGAUAGAAAAAUCUUUAGUCCAUCUUUUGUUCAUACUUCAAAUAUCGGUACCAUAUGUAACUAAAAUUGUUGCAGGAUCUGAUUCUAAUUUUUUGUUUGAGAAUGAAAAUUGCCAAUCGAAAACUAAUGACCCUGUAAUCAACACUGAAGGUAAUAAUUAUAGUUCUGAGUUAAGGUUAACCAUACCAAUUCAUAUGAUCUUAAAUUAAUUUUCAUCAUUGUUACCAUCAUACUACACUAUGUUAUUAAACAAUUUCAGGAUAUUCUGAACUUGGUGACCAACUCAUGCAAUGUAGACAUUGUAAUGCAAAAAUGUGGUAUAAUGAAAGCAUUUCAAAAUAUAGAAAUAAUACAAGUCCAAGGUUCAGCUUAUGUUGUGGAGAUGACAAAGUUGAACUUCCAUUAUUACAAAAUUCAUCGAAACAUCUCCAACGACUUUUCUUUGAUAAUAAUACAGUUGAUAGCAAAAAUUAUCAGCAUAACGUAAGAACAUGUAACAUUAUGUUUGCCUUUACUUCUGCUGGUAUUAAGCUAGAAAAAUCAAUUAAUCAAUCGAGGGGACCUCCUACAAUUAGAAUUCAGGGCCAACCAUGCCACCGAAUAGGUAGCCUAUUACCAAUGCCAGGAAAAGAACCAAAAUUUGCACAAUUAUAUAUCUUUGAUACAGAAAAUGAAGUUCAAAAUAGAAUUAAUGCCAUGAGGCAGUACUUCUUUUGUCUCUUCUAUUAUAAAAAUGCCCAUUGAAAAAGCGUGUUCUAUUAGAAUAUUAGACGUAUUUUAAUAUUGGUUUUUGCAACCAACAUGAUGGAAUUCAAUCACACAUCGUUUCAACUUUAAGUCAAAUGCUGGAUCAACACAAUGCCCAUGCAAAAUGUUUUAGAAUGGCCAGGGAUAGAUUGAUAAAUAGUCAAGUAGAUAAUGUCAGAUUGAAAUUGAUAGAAGCUCGUGAAAAAGAUGGUCGUAUAUACAAUCUGCCAAAUGUUUCUGAAGUUGCUGCUCUUAUUGUUGGUGAUUUUGAUGGAAACUCAAGCAGAGAUAUUAUUGUUGAAACUCAAAAUGGAGAAUUACAAAGAAUACAUAAAUUGCACUCUAGCUAUCUAGGAUUGCAGUACCCUCUACUCUUCCCUUAUGGUGAAGAUGGAUAUAGACCUGACAUACUUCACAGCUCUACAUCCGCUAGCAAAAAAGGAAGAGAAAUUGUCUGAAAAUGAGAGAAUGGUUUGCUUAUAGACUUGAGUCCAGGUCAAAUGAAGCAUAAACUUUGUUUCAUUCUAGAAAACUAUUCCAACAAUUUAUUGUUGAAGCAUAUACCAUGAUUGAGUCUGAAAGACUUAGCUACAUCAGGAACAAUAAAAAAAACUUAGAGUCGACAAGUAUUCUAGCUUACAAAAGCCAUUGGAUGAUGGGACUAACAAAGGCUUAUCUAAAGGAAAAAGAGUAAUUUUGCCUUCAACGUUUGUUGGGAGUCCAUGCUACAUGGAUCAACUUUAUUUGGAUGGUAUGACAAUAUGCAGUCAUGUUGGUUUCCCAAAUCUUUUUAUUACUUUAACAUGUAAUCCAAAUUGGCCUGAAAUUCGUAGAGUACUUGCACCUUUGAAUCUGAAAGCCAAAGAUAGACCAUAUAUUAUCUCACGUGUUUUCAUAUUGAAGUAUGAACAAAUGCUUUCUGACCUAACAAAAAACCACCUGCUUGGAAAAGUAGUUGCAUGUAAGUUUGCUAUUAUUCUUAUUGUUAAACUUAGACAUUAGUUUACUUCUUUCCAUUUUUGUUUUUCAUAUAAUAUAAAAGCCCAAUAUUUCUAUAUUACUGUAAUACAAUAAAUACUAUCACCUAACAAUUGCAGAUAUACAUACAAUUGAAUUUCAAAAGCGAGAACUUCCUCACGUCCAUCUAUUACUAUUUUUACACCUAGACAAUAAAUAUUCAUCUUCAGAUGAAAUUGACCAAAUAAUAUCAGCAGAGAUACCUUCACAUGAAGAUGACCCAAAACUGUAUACAUUGGUGCAAAAUCAUAUGGUACAUGGCCUUUGUGGAAUUCUACAAUCUCAGUCUCCAUGUAUGAAAGAAGGCAAGUGCAGUCGUUUUUAUCCUAAAAUAUUUCAGCCUCAUACUCUUUUAGAUUCAAAUGGUUAUCCAGUCUAUCGUAGAAGAAAUGAUGGUCGAACAAUUUCAAAGAAUGGUGUUAUAAUUGAUAAUAGAUACAUAGUACCUUACAAUCCAAAAUUACUCAGAAAAUAUCAAGCACACUUAAAUAUUGAAUGAUGUAACCAAAGAACUGCCUUCAAAUAUUUAUUCAAAUAUAUAAACAAAGGUUAUGACAGAGUGACUGCUGUUAUGUUUUAUGAUGCUAAUGAUGUAGUUUAGAAGCCUACCACUCAAAAUGACAAGAUUAAAGAAUAUCUAGAUUGCAGGUAAAAUUGAUUUAACAUAGAUAAUUCAUAUGUUCACUAUUUCUUAUAUUAACCAAUCUUUAUGGCAAAUACAUUUCUCCCUGUGAAGCAAUUUGGAGAAUCUUUGGUUUUCCAAUACAUGCUAGAAAGCUUUUUGUCGAUCCAUCUUCCAGGCCAACACAAUGUUCUUUAUGAAGAUGAUGAUGAUGAUAUUAGAAUAGUUGCAAAUGUUCUAUAUCCUACAUAUAGAGAAACAUGUUUUGCAAUGAGUUUUUUUGCAAGAUGACAGAGAAUUUGUGGAAGCAAUCAAAGCAGCUAAGGAUUGGGGAAUAACUAAUUAUUUGAAGAAACUAUUUGUGUUAAUGCUAUUAACAGGUGCCAUUACUAAACUUGAAGAACUUUGGAACCAAACUUGGCAUUGGUUAGCUGAUGACAUCGCAUAUCAUUAUACAAAAUCAAUAGUAAACACAUGUUAGUUUUGAUCCGUUUAUAUAUUCAACAACAUCACACAUAAGCAUUGUUUAACGAUUUGACUUCUCAUUUGAUAGAAUUACACAUUGAUGAUGAACAUAUUAAAAAUUGGAUAUUACUGGAAAUUGAAAAACUAUUGCAUGCAAAUAAAAAAUCACUUAAAGACUAUCCUCCAAUGCCAUAUCCUGAGGAUGCAAAUUCUACAUGCUCUCUAGACAAUAGCUUGAUAUUAUCAAAGCUCAAUUACAACAAUGAUGAGGCUAGACCAGAAUUCAAACAUCUUUUUUCAUCAAUGACAGCUAAUCUACCUAUUCAUAUAUUAUAACUUUUAUUCCUAGAAGUAAAAUUCACUCGAAAAUAUAGAAAACAUAACUAUCAUCUAUAUCUUUCAAUUUGAAAUUUAAUUAUUCUUCAUUUCCAUCUAACGUUAACUUAUUCUUGAUUCUAGAAGAACAAAAACAAAUUUAUAACAGAAUUAUGCAAGCCGUCAACAACAAUGAAGGUGACAUGUUUUUCCUAUAUGGAUAUGGAGGUACAGGAAAAAUAUGCAUAUGGAGAACAUUGGCAAGUUCAUUGAGAGCAAACAAUUAAAUUGUCAUUAUGGUUGCUUCUAGCGGCAUAACUUCUCUAUUACUGUCAGGAGGCAGGACUGCCCAUUCCAAAUUUAAGAUACUUGUGCCCAUUUUUUAAGACUGAACAUGCAACAUACAUCAAGGAAGUCAGUUAGCAGAAUUGUUAAACCAAACAAGCCUGAUUAUUUGGGAUGAAGCACCGAUGGCUCACAAAUUUUUUUUCAUGCACUUGAUCAAAGCUUAACAGACAUUGUUCAACAAAAAAACAAUUCCAAUCAAAUUUUUGGAGGUAAAGUUAUCGUCUUUGGUGGAAAUUUUCGAUAAAUACUGCCAAUCAUUCCAAGAGGAAGCCGUUCAGACAUCAUAAAUGCAACAACUAAUUCAUCAUAUCUAUGGCCUUGCUGUCAAGUAUUAAGGCUGACAAAAAAACAUGCCUUUACAAGUCAAUGUGCAACCAAUUAAUGACCAAGAAACUGCUACAUUUGCAAAGUGAAUCCUAGACAUUGGAGAUGAAAUUAUUGGAUAUGAAAAUGAUGGAUAUGCCACAGUUAAAAUUCCUAAGGAUCUAUUGAUAACGGAAUAUGAUGAUCCAAUUCAUGCUAUAGUCAAAUCAACAUUCCCAGACUUAUAUAAGCACCACAAUAAUGUUGAAUUCUUCAAAUGUCGGGCAAUAUUAGCUUCAACCAACGAAACAGUUGAACAAGUCAAUAAUUAUAUAUUAUCUUUGAUUCUUGGUAUUCAUGCAUGUCUUGUCUAAUUGAUACUGCUUCUUUAAAGCUAUCUCUGCUCAAUUAACCAACUUACAAAACUACAAUCUGUUUAAUAUUUGUCCUCUUUGCAUGCUAACUGAAAUAAAUAUAAUAGGUGAAGACAUGUAAUACCUAAGCUCUGAUUCUGUAGACAAAUUAGAAAGCAUUGAGAGUUGCCAUUUCCAAUCAAUUACCACUGAAUUUCUUAAUUCAUUCACCACAUCUAAUUUGCCAUAUCAUUCUAUAAAGCUCAAAAUUGGUAGUCCUAUAAUGCUGCUAAGAAAUUUAGACCAAACGCAAGGACUCUGUAAUGGUACUAGAUUAAUAGUUACAAGGCUGGCCAGACAUGUUAUUGCAGCUGAAAUUAUUUCUGGCAAAAAUCCUGGGCAUAAUGUUUACAUUCCAAGAAUGUCAAUGUCCCCUUCAUAAUCACCAUGGCCUUUUAAGCUUUUAAGGAGGCAAUUUCCAAUCAUGCUAUCUUAAGCAAUGACAAUCAACAAGUCUCAGGGACAAUCACUCUCUAUGGUUGGACUUUAUUUACCAAAACCCAUCUUUAGCCACGAACAAUUAUACGUUGCAUUAUCAAGGGUCAACUCAAGGAAAGGAUUAAAAAUUCUUAUUCAUGAUAAAGACCAGAAAAACAUGACUUCUACUACCAAUGUAGUUUUUAAAGAGGUCUUCAAAAAUCUUACAAGGUAAAUUUUAAUUUUCCACCAACAGAAGUUUUAUCAUUUAUUGGCAAUAAUUCUAAACUGCUAUCUUAAUCAUAAACAUUCUAAUAUGCAGCUAAAUACAAGAUCAUAUGACCCACUGUUAAAUAUUAUAUUAUGAGGUACGUAAUCUUAGUUACUACAUUAAAAUCUUGCAACUCAAAUUUAUAAUUCUACCUCUGACUUAAAAAUUCCAUUUGUUUAACUUACUUUUAAUAACGUCAUAUUAUUAAUUGCUUUACGAAGAUAUCCAUAACCUGUGAAUGUUUAGCACUUGACCACAUUUUAGUCUGGUUCAGAUAUCAUAUGAUUAUUAUCCAAUUAAUAAUCACAUAAAUCUAACUUACAACUAAAUUUCUUCUUGCCAAAAAUUACUUCUCACACAUGCAAUCCACUUGGCACACAAAUCAUAGUUCGUGUUCAUACUUGAUUACUCUCCAAGUAUUAAUAAAUUUAAUAUAUGAUUUAAUCUAUAUAGAUUAUUUUGUUCUACUAUUAUUAAAUUUAAUCUCCAACACUACAACUCCAAUUCAAUUCUGAUUUUCGAUGCUUUUAUUACAUGUCUGCAGAAAUAGUCACAUCCAUUCAUAAAAAAAAACUGCACUAUUAAUACUAUAGCAUACAAACCGUCUUAAGCUUAUCGAUUCAUCAAAAACUCUUCAGUUUCUUGCCACCUAUUUCACUUCACAACUAUUGACAUAUGCACUAAACUUAAAACGUCAAAAAUAAUAAUGAAAUCUACCGCCACUUACAACACCGGGAACAACCAUUACUUAAAUGCUACACCUACUACAAGAGCACCCUGCAACACGCGAAAACCUAUCUUCUCCUGAAAAUUCUAUUUCACUUUCUUUACAUAAAAAUUCAAGUUCAUGCCAUCACCAAAAUGACCACCGCAUCUUCAACAACAUUAAGUCAAGUAAGUCAUUCCUUAUCUUCUCUUUUCCACAAAACUACAUUUCCUCCUUUUCUUCAACCUCAACACUUCAAACACUAAAAUUACAAUGGUUGUGACACUGCAGAUGAAAUAUCUGAUCAUAGGACCACUAUUGAUCAUGCAAUUUAACGCUGCUUUUCACAACGACAAAGUCAUGUUUUACUAUCCUUUCAUUGCCUAAUUUUUUUAUUAUUAUUAUCAUUCAAUAUACAUGCACUUACCUUUUUCGACUUUUUUCUUCCAGACUAUCAUAGGAGUUCCAUCAUUCUACCAUAAACAAUGGGCACCAGACUAUCCCAAGUAUGUUCAUUUAAAAUAUGAUGGAGCCAUCUACGAAAUACGGGUCAGACGACACAAAGCAAGAUGUUAUUUGGCAGAUGGACUCGAAAACUUCAAAAGAGAAUUAGAAAUCUACAAGUCCACAACAAUCAAGUUCUUUGCCUGCGAUCAUAGCUACCACUUUGACAUACACUUCACCCCUCCACUAGACCAACAAACAUGCAGCAGACCAAGACAUAUAUCCAGAGACCAUAUUUGGACGGUUGAAAUUACUCAGACAAUGCUCGAUACCCUUGAACCCUUGGUAAGUUAACAUUACUUAGAUUAACAUCCUCAAUAAAAUAUUAAUUUGUAUAUUAAUUUUACUUUUCUUUUAUCUACAGAAACUUCCUCCUUCUACAGAAGUGUCUCUUAAUUCUUGUGGACAUCAAAUGACAAUAUUAAGAUGAUUUGGCCCUCCAUUGCAAUGGAUUGUUGAAACCCUCAACCAUGCCAUUGCUGGUACAACCAUUGUUCAACCAUGGUAUGACUUUCUUGUGGAAAGUAACUUUGAUCAUGGAGAUGAAGUCUCCUUUUAUUAUAGACAUUAUGAAAAAAUUUGGGAAAUUGUGAUUAGAAGAUAAAAGAAUUGGGAUGAUAGUGACAGCGAUUAAAGUUCCUUUUGUAGUUUGAAAUGUUAAACAAAUGUUUUCUGGAUCAUGUAAUUUGAACAAUCAAUUUAUUAUAAAUAUUAAGUUUGUGCAUGAUUCAACUAUCUAUUUGAUUUUAAGUCUAUAUUGCAAUUACAAAAUACUUGCAACCUCACUCACCAAACAACCCAUGCAUGUGCACGGACGGCUGACUAUAUAUAUAUAUAUAUAUAUAUAUAUAUAUAAUCACUCAACUUUACAAUAGCAAUCAGAUUUAACUUAAUUUAAAGUUCCUAAAUGUGUCUAAUCAAGAAUUAAUUUAUUGUUAUUAUUAUUAUGAUUAUUAUUCUUAAAAUAAUAAUAAUGUACUAUUAGUUUUUGUCAUACCAAUAACUAGUUUUAAAAAUAAAAUAUAUUUAAUUUUUAUUAUACUAUUUUAUUAAACUUCUGAAUAUUUUUUAGAUAUAUAACUUUUAUAAUAAAAACAUUGAGUAUUAUAUUAAUACAUAUUAUCUAAUUUAUUAUAUUUUUAAAAAUAGCUACUUUAAAAAUAUUUUAUAAUAAUAAUUAAAAGUAAUAAUUUAUAAAUAUGAAGUUAAUUAAUUUAAAUAAUUCAUAAAAUUUUAUUUAUUUAAAAAUUAGGGAUGUAUAUUAAGAAAUAAAUUAUUUUAUAUAAAAAUUAUAUUUUUCAAUUUAAUUAUUUAAAUAAUUUUAUGAACAACUGAAAUUUGUUUAUAGAUAUUUGGAUCAUUUUAAAGUAAUAUUUAAAAAUAAAAGUAAUCAAAAAAUUAUAUAUAUAUAUAUAUAUAACUUCACUUUAACUUUACUUUUUUUUUUAUAAAGAAUUACAUCAACUACAUUAAUAUAAUAAUUAUUACAUAUCUAUAUUUUAACCACAUGUUUGCGAAAACAAACAUAAAAAAUCAAAGUAUUUUUGUUCUAUUCUCUUAUUAUUAACUAAUAUAUAAGUAGAUUUUGAUUAGUAAAAUUAUUAUAAAUCAUUGAUUCGUCUAGUAUUUAAUAUAUUUAAAUUCAUUUGAGUUUGCCAGAUUAAAAAUUUUGAAUUUUUUAUAUUGAAGAAUUACAAUCCAAUAUCACAUUUAUCAUAAUCGUUUUCAACUAUUCAAAUAGUAUAGUAUCUUUCGAGGCUUUGCCACUUCAUAAUCUUGAGUGUUGCUAGGUGCACUGGUUUUAUUGCUUGUGCACCUAGUAUUUUUUGUUAAUUCCAAAAUUAUCCUACAUUGAAGGUAUGUGAGUUCGUGGUUGAUCCAUAUAAAAUAUACAAAUUAUAUAAUCCGUAAAUAUAAUUUAGACAUACGGAUCAUGUUGAUUUGUAUGAGUCAUAUAAAUCAACUUGAGUGAAAGGUAUUUUCGUCCAUUCACCUAAAAUGUUGGUGCACCAGUAAUAAUACUGGGUGCACCUAACAUCAUCCCAUAAUCUUAUAAUUUUUUGUUCUCAUAAUCUUUUCCUAUUAACAAGUAUAGCAAAAAUAUGCUGCAACCAACUUGUUAGUACUAUCUACAUAUAUUCAUAUCCACUAAAAAUGAAAUAACAUGAAUACAUGAUUUAUGGUCAACUUUAAAUAGUAACCUGUCUACAACUUAUAUUAUGUGAUACGCAAUACAACUUAACAUUUAUCCUUGUGUCAUUUUCCGCUCAUUCAACAACGUGACUAACUACCCAUGUGCAAAUCACUACCAGCAAAUGUACACUAUUUAUAAUUGAUAUCCACAUAUAUCCACAAUGAUCAUUCACCUACAAAUUUGUUUUGGUUAUACAUUCAAUUUUAAACAAAGACCGUAUUGUUGAGAAUGAGGUAUACGUCAUGAGUUUUAUUUGGUGUUAUCUCAAAUGGAGAUCAUAUCAUGCUACCUAUAAGUUUAAACUUUUGUUCCAUGCAAAAACAAGUGUUCUCUGUUGUGACGAUUUUAACAUUCCUAUGAAUUCAUGACUUAAUCCAAUAAGUUCCAGUGAAAUUUUAAACCGCAACGAUCAAUCUGAUUUCUUAAUAGGUAUGAAUAUGUAUUACAAAAUUAUACUAUCCUUAUCCAUUAAGUUAUAAUGAUCUAAGAUCAACAUAUAAUUAUAGAUGUCUUGGGUGUCAUGAAUGGCAUUUCUGCCGAAAAAUUUCUGUCAAGGAUGGAAAGUCUACAAGACACAUUCAAAUGCAAUUGAUCGAUGAAAUGUAAGAUUGUAUUUUUUUUAUUUCUUUUUUUUUAAGUUUUUAUAUAUUUAUUUUAAAAUAACUACUUAUUGACUGAUAUAUAUAUAUAUAUAUAUAUAUAUAUAUAUAUAUAUAUAUAUAUAUAUAUAUAUAUAUAUAUAUAUAUAUAUAUAUAUAUAUAUAUAUAUAUAUAUAUAUAUAUAUAUAUAUAUAUAUAUAUAUAUAUAUAUAUUAAAACAAGUGGAACAAUUCAAUGUGCACUAUUUGACGAUUAUGUUGACAUGGUGAAUGGAAAGAUUGAUGCAUCUCACAGUGAGGCUCCACUUCUGGCUAUACAAUUUUCCAAGAUAACAUGAUAUAAUGAAUUUUCUUAAAUAAACAACAUGGUAUUUCAUAUCAUAUAUACAAUUUUAAGAUUAGUAUUUAUAUCUAUAUAAAUGAAUAUAUUAUGAAUUUAUCAUGUCAUAUAUUUUCAGGUGAGACUGUUAUACAGAACGUGAUGAAUACAUCUAGGGUGAUAUGGAAUCCUCAAGAUGAACACGCAAUGUCGUUUAAGGAAAGGUAUUACAUCGUGGGAGUUUAUUUAAAAAAUUUAGUUACAAUGGAAAUCUUUUUUAAGUCAUUUUUAAGUUUUAAUCUCUAUAGGUUAGUUUUGACUGGAAUUGUUUUCAAUGGCCCUCUACUCGAACCAUUGGAAUUGGAGGGCCAUAUGUUCCUUUGAAUGAAGAGUUUUUAACUGUGUUUCCAAAGAAAACCGUUCCUGAGUUCUAUAAUUGUGAAGAGGUAAAUGAAUAAUUAUUUUAAAAGUAAUAUAAUUAUGUUUUUUCAAUUUUUUAAUUAAUUAUAUAUAUUAUAUUACAGAAUAUUUAUUGUGAAUGCAACCAUAUUAUUCAUACUCAAUACCGAUCAGUGGUAUUGCAAAUCAUGUAACUGCAAACCAGCAGUUACUACAGAUUCUGGUGUUUACUAUUGUUCUUCAUGUAGGAAAAAUGUCCUUGAUACUACCCCAAGGUAUGUGUAAUAUAGUUUUAUUUGUUUACACAUGCAAUGAAUAAUUUUACGUAACAAUAACAUUAUCGUACGUAUAUGUAGAUAUAAGCUGAAACUGGAAGUCUUUGAUGGGUUUGACACAAAUGCUUUUGUAUUAUUCGAUACUGAUUGUGAGAAGAUCAUGAAUCAAUCGUGUGUUGAUUUGUUGAGUGAGCUGAAGGUAAAUCCUUUGAUUUAUUGAUUUAUUGUAAUUUUUUUAUUUUGUUUUCUUUGGCAAACUGAUUUUUUUUUACAAUUUAGAAAAAUAAUGUGAAGUUCUACGAAAAGGAUCGGAAUUUAAUAAGCUAACAGGAGUCAAACUUCUUUUCAAAGUGAAGGAGGCUGAUUAUGCUUUUCGUUUUGACGAUUCUUUUAAGGUGAAGAAAAUAUGUGACAAUGAAGAUAUUAUCCAGCAGUUUCAUUCUUCUGGUUCAGUUAAUACUCCUGAAAAGGUUUGUAAGUCAAACUAUAUUUUCUUACAACAAUAAAAUCUUGUGAAAUGACUGAGUAUAUAUUUUUCGUUUUGCUUGAUACAGUCAAAAUUUCCAAUUGACUUUCAGACCAAUAUUGAUCGUGACAUUGAGCUCUCCAAAUCUUCAACAAAUGAAGGAAAAAUGAACAUGAUUGAUGGAGACAAUAUUAAAAAAAAUACUGAAGUUUCAUCAUGUAUCAAUGAUGAAAAUUAACACUCGUGAUAAACACUACAAAAGACUUUCAAAGACGAUUAUUUUACACUUUUCACCACGGUUUCUAAUGUUUUUGAAUCCAUUGUGGUUUAAAGUCAAUAUUUUUCACGAUAAAACUUUUAAACUGUCUUAGAAUCUCACUUUCUACAUUGAUUUUUGUAAAAAUCAUCUUAGAAUAUUUUCUUUUAUUUUAAAAAUAUUAAAAAAAUUAAGGAUUUGAAGAUGAUUUUUUGAAAAAUCAUCUUAGAAAGUAGACAUUCUAAGAUAUUUUUUUUUUAAAAAAAAACCUUGAUGAGAAUCGAACACUUUGUUAUAUCCCUUGAGACUCAAAUCAACUCAUGAAGAUAGGUUGUUAUAUCAACUAAGAAUCAAAUUAACUCAGAUAGGUAGGUUGUCAUACUGAGAAUCAAAUCAUCUCAUGUGGAUAGGUUGUUAUAUUCCUCGAGAAUCAAAUGAACUAAUGCAGAUAGGUUGUUAUAUUCCUUGAGAAACUUUUGUUUUACUCUUCUGGAUAGGAUGUCAUAUCCCUUGAGAAAGAAGUAGAUUCCAUAUGAAUAAACUAUCAUGGACUUUGUUAAGUGUGAACACACAACCAUGUAUCCUGAUAUAUCUCUCUCUGAAGUAGGCAGGAUCGGGAAAAUCCAAGUUGACCGGGUACAGGUUCGGGUUCAAGGAUUACUCGACUUUAUUAAUCGGGGUUGGGGUCGGGGACGGGGAUGUCACUACCCGUCCCAUACACAUUCUCGUACCUGCCCCAAUGAUGAAAUUACUAAAAUUUUAUUAAUUACUUGUUAAUUUUUUUUAUAAUUUUUACAUAAUUUAAGAUUUUUUCUUGAUAAUUUUUGUAGACAAAUGCUCUACAAAUACAAGUAGUUAAAAAUAAAUGUGUAACAAUCAUUUUUUUAAAAUCAGGUUUUCAAUAUAAUUUUCUUACAAAAAAAAUUUACAAAUCUAAACCGAGGACGGGACAGGAAUACCCGAUAUCCGACAGAUACGGGGAUGGAGUGACAAAUUUUAACCCAUCGGAGACAUCAGAGAUGAGUACAGGUAUAUGUUGGGGAGUCGGGGUCGGGAACUAGGAAGACAAUACCCGUCCCCACCCCGCCCCGUUGACAUGUCUACUCUGAAGGAGUAGAGAAUGAUAGAAAAAAGGGGAUAAAUUGCAUACAUAGUUAUUGAUUAAUCCUUGCUUGAUGUGGGGGUGUGAUAAAAUAAAUUGUCUAAGUCAGUUGUCAAAUUCUAAAGUAUAUGUAUGUAUAGAUCACUCACAAACUUUUUUUUUUGUGGUAUCUAGAUCAGUGUUGUCAAAUAGCGGCUAUCGUGGUGCUAUCACACUAUAGCAUAGCGGGUUUUUGGGAAAACGCAAUCACGGGCGCCUUACGCGUCGCAAAAUCUCAUUGUGUUGCGGUUGUUGUCUCGUCGGUUUCUGGCAAGGUUGAAUCUAAAGAGAAAUUGCAUCUACGGUGUUUAGGGUUUAUUGGUUCAUCAUUAUGAAAAAAAGCAAACUGGGUUAGGUGUGGAUUCGGGUCGCGUCUACAGUCUGCACAACACUUCAGUUUAGAGUUGUUUUGGGCUUGCGGACAAGGUUUUUGGUUUUGUUAAACUCACGUGGUGGAUCUUGUGUCUCUAUUCAGAAAUUGUAUAGCCACAAAGUUUCUCAACCCCGAUAGAGCAAAGUUGAGGUAGUUUCAGAUUUAGGUUCCCAUAAAGGAGAUUUAUGGGUCUUGGACAAAUUGGGCUUAUGUGCCUUUUUAAAACAUAAUAAAGAUUCAUAUUUCUUUUUGUUUUAUUCUAUACUAAAACUCACAUAAGUUUUUAAACUAUGGAGUUAGAGUCAAAUGUGACUUGGGCUUUCUUAUUAUAAAAUAGGCCCAACAUAACCUUUUUUAUUGAGUGAAUAGGCAAUUUAGUCUCUGAGAUUGUACCCAUUUUACAUAUUAGUCUCUAACUUAAUGUUAAAUUCAAAAUAGCUCCUAUCUUUGCAUAAGUGUUGCAAAAUAGUCCUUCCGUUAAAUUUUAAAGUAACGCUGUUAGUGAGGUCAAUUUUAGUGUCACGUGAACUAUCCAACGUGGCUCUAAAGGAUGACAUGCCUCUUAAAAGAUGUCACGUCAUUUGAUGAUAAUAAAACGAGUAAAUAGACAAUUUAGUUUCUGACUUUGUACCCCUAUUGCAUAUUAGUCCCUAACUUAAUGAAAAAUUCAAAAUAGUUCAUAUUUUUUGCAUAAGUGUUGCAAAAUAGUCAUUCCAUUAAAUUUUAAAGUAACGUUGUUAGUGAGGUCAAUUUUAGUGCCACAUCAUUUGAUGAUGAUAGAAUGAGUGACUUCUUCAAAUCUAAUGGUUCUGAACCAAUUGAGGCAUAUAUACGAAAAAGAACCCACACACACUUGCACAAAUAAAAAGAACCAAAAAUCCACAGCAACAACCUUAUCUCUAUAGUCGUCAACACCAAUGGAUAAAGUUUGCAUAACCAUUCUCUUUUCCUUUUUUAUUUCUUCAAUUACCAUCAAUGUAUCAUUUCGGGUUCUGAUUUUUUUUUUUUGUGUGUUCUGAAUAGGAAGAGAAAAAACCAGAGGAAAACAAAGUGGAGGAGAAAAAAGCAGAGAAAGAAGAAAAGAAAGAAGAAUAGAAAAAACUAGAGGAAUCAAAAGAUGACAAGGAAUCCAAGGAGGAAUCUAUGCCGCCAGAAAUCGUGCAAGGUACACCUUCGCAAUGCAUGGACACUUUAAGCACGAUUUCUGACAUCUUUUAAAUUAGAGACUAUUUUGCAACACUUAUGCAAAAGAUAGGGAUUAUUUUGAAUUUUUCAUUAAGUUAGGGACUAAUAUGCAACAGAGGUACAAAGCCAGGGACUAAAUUGUCUAUUUACUCGUUUUGUUAUCAUCAAAUGACGUGACAACUUUUAGGAGGCACGUCCACGUGCCAUGCCACGUCAUCCUUUAGUGCCACGUUGGAUAGUUCACGUGGCACUAAAAUUGACCUCACUAACAGCGUUACUUUAAAAUUUAACGGAAGAACUAUUUUGCAACACUUAUGCAAAGAUAGGGACUAUUUUAAAUUUAACAUUAAGUUAGAGACUAAUAUGCAAAAUGAAUAUAAUUUCAAGGACUAAAUUGCCUAUUCACUCCUUUUUUAUUUGUAUUGCCUUCAACCUUUGAAGAUCAUUGCCACUUAAACAUCUCCUUUACAUAAAUCCUUCCUCCCAAAAUUCAGAACCCUCCAGCCUUCUUCUCCACUCCUUUACUAGGACUUCUUUAGUAUUUAGCUCUUUUUUUAAUGUUUCCAACAUAUUUUGUCUUGCACAAUUUAACUUUUGAGUUAAUAUUAUGUCAAUGUUUAUCCUUUUUGCAUAUAGCUUAAUUUUUUAUACAUAUUUAAUCGUAAUAUAUAUAUAUAUAUAUUAUAUUUCAACUGGUAUGUUGCUUCCGAUAUUUGCCUGCCACACUAUACGCUAUAUGUUAUAGCAGAUUUUCAACUCAUUGCGAUUUUCCACGAUCGGCUAUUCACAACAUUGGUCUGGAUGAACUGUAUUAGUUGUUUUACGUGCUUGUGAAGUGCUUCAAAUUCUUGUUUCAGUAUGCAAGUGCAUCUGCUCAUGAAUUACUGUGAGCACAACUGUCUGCAUAAAUGUAUAAACGCAUAUGGUAAUGAUUAGCAUGGAUGUAUAAUUAUAUGUACAUGUUCCUUGUGUUUGGAAUGAGUGUUUAUCUCUCCUGCCUAUUUCACACAUUACUGUGAGGCUCACUUCUCCUUUGUUUCUCUAUGUUGUCUGGUUCAUCUUUAUGAUGAACAGCAGGGGGAGUUUAUAAGCGCAAGGACAAUCUAGUGGAGCAGGUGGAUGUUAGCACUAGAGACAGCUAGAUCUCUCUUGAGGAGUCUCUUAUGUUUGUGUUUUGUUGUUUUGCAUUUGUAGAUAUAUAUAUACUACUAAUGUGAGGAUGCCUUGUCGGAGGAGAGAAUUAGUUGCUUUAAGUAUGUUUCAUAUAUAUGUACCUGCACUCUCAUGACCUUAGUAGACAUGUAAUAUUUUGAAUAACUUACACCUCUUUAUUUAUGUUCUAAAUCUCUAAAACCUUAGGUUAUAUCAUUACUUAGUUUACCUUUAUUUGAUUUACUUCCGCUAACAUACUUUAAUUAUUUUGGGAACUUAAUUGAUCAUGAUUGUCUAUCAGGUACUUGAGAGCUUUAGAAGUUUAUGCAUUGUUUUAUGAUUUAAUUGAUUAUUAGUUUAUUACGAGAUCAUGUUUUUAUAUUCAACUGUUUAUCAAGUACCUACAAAUAGCAAAGUAGCCUUUAUACCUGCAAUUGUGUAUAGUUACCUAAUAAUAAUAAUAAUAAAAUUAUAUAUUAUUACCUUACCAUACAAUAUUGAUUUCUUCGCAGAGGUUUUUAUUCAUGCUUUUACAAGUAAACAGGUUCUUCUUUUAAACGCACAAAAAAAAAAUCCUACCAUUUUCCCAAGUCUUUACUAAAGUGUUUUAAAUCCUUGAAGAAAAAAAAAUCAAUUUUUUAUUCUAGCUCCAACAUGGCCAGUCCUUACACAAAACAAUAAUGCAAUUUAUGUGCCAAACUCUUCGACAAAAACAUACCUCUUUCUCGUUUUUUCCAAAAUUGGCAAGAAGCCCAAAUUUUGAGUUUGGACUAUUUUUGCUAUCAAAGUGACCAUAUUAAGCUUACACCUUAGCUAGAUUCGGUAUGCUCAUCUUUCAACAAACUCAUUUACGAAAGGAUACUAGUCAAUUUGUUGAUGAUAGAUCUAGGUAGACAUAUGUGAGUGAGGCCAUUCUCUUACAUUUUUUUUAUUCUUUAAAAUGUUUAUUAUAUUUAUGAAAUAAUAACUAUUUAUGAAUGAUAGAAAGAAUUUAAGGCUAGACUAUCUCAAACUAGGUUUGGUACUGCAUCAAGUGUUGGUGAAUCACAACUCACUCCUUUAGACUUUGCUGAAGAACAAAGACUUAAGACUCGGUGUUGGGUUGCAGCUACGAGAUCAAAGCGUAAGGGACACUUUUACAAUACUAGAGACAUUGCUCUUUUAAAUGUGGAGAUGACAACUUCAUGCAACAUACACAAGGAUCUUCCAGACGCACUCUAGAUGUCGGCAGAGAUUAACCGACUAAAGGAUAAGUUUUGUCAAUCAAAGGAGGAGAUUAGUAUCUUUCAGUCAAUUGUCAUUCAGUUCCUACCUCAUGAAGCACGAAACAUUGUUGAUCAACAUCAACACCCUCACUAGCAGUAGCAGGACUAGCAGUAGCAACAACAAUACAAUGACUAACUAGAUGACCACAAGCAGAUGACCAGAGACACUCUCCCAGUGAAUAUUUUGAUUACUAACUUAGCAACACUAAAUUACUAUUGACAUAUUACAUUGUGCUUUUCUUUUACAUUUUUUUUCAAUUUAACUUAAUAAUUUAUUUUACUAUUUGUUUUGGAUUUAUGAAUUUGAGUAUUUCGUUAAUUAUAUGUAUGUGUUAAUUAAAAUUUUGACGUUAAAUAAUAUAAAUACAAAAAAAUGAAUAUUAAAUUAUCGAUGUUAAAUAAUAAAAAUGAAAUAAAUAAUUCUACAUAAAAUAACAUUUCCAACGGAUAUAUCUGUCAGUAAUUUCCCACAUAAAGAUUCCGUUAGAAAUUUCUGACGGGAGGCAAAAAUUCAUUGGUUAAAAUUUCCUAUGACUAUUUUACUAACAGAUCUUGGUCCAUUGGAAAUUUUGAAUUACCAACGGAUUUUCGAGGUUUCCGUCUGACCAUUGAAAAUAGGCUUUUUUGUAAUAUUUAAAUAAAUAAUGAAUAAUAAAAGAACAAGGUCAUGGAGUAUUCAAUUAAAAUUACUUGGAUUAAUAAGAUGUUGGUCCGAGUAGUGCUAGACUUAAUUCCUUCAAGCAAAGUUUUGACUUCAAGUCCUCUGAAUGAAAAAUACGUGAUUGGAAUGGAAGAAUUCCACUAAGUGAUCAGCUAGGUUGACAGAGGAUUAUUCAAGGCGUAGGAGAUUUUAAGAAGAGUUUGACGAAAGACUAAAUUAUCUCAUAAAAAACAGUAAAACUCAUAAAUUUUAAUCAACUUUUAGAAUAGGAUUUAUUUUCAUUUUUAAUUGUAUUUUGGGCUUAUUAUUGGACUUGUAAUGAAGUACCACGUCCUUUUAUUGUUGUUUUGAGUUAAUGGUAUUUCAUAACUAAUUGAUUGAAGUCUUUUAACUAUUAAAUUAGUUAUUAAGCCUUUGAUCUAAUAUAGGGUUAUUAGUAGGAGCUACAAAUAAACUUCCUAAACACUUUGUUAGGAUUUUUUGAUGAAAUUUUAUGUUAGAACAGUUAAGAAACUGUCUCCCUUGGUUCUUAUGUAAAACUUUAGGUUCUUAUCAAAGAAUGAAUUCUAUUCUUUGUGACAAAUCAUCCUUAACUUAUAAAUCUUCCAAAACUAUAAUGUAUUCUUUCUAUCUCCUUUUCUAUUUUUUUUAUUUUCCCCAAUUUCAAUUUGAGAGUCUUAAGUCCCUAGUUUAAUGAUACUAAAAAUUAGAUCUGCAAAUUAGAAUUCAUCACAAGUUCCUCAACAAAAAUUACUAGAAAAGUCAAAAGAUACUUUAUACGAAUAACAUGCUAAAAAAAAUACUUAAAAAAAUUACUUACUACUUAUUUAUCUUUUGUAUAUGACUUUGUUAUCUUAUACAUUAUUCCUGGAAGAUGGACUAUGAUAGUGCACUGAAGACAAGCUUUCUGCAGUAUCAUUGACCCUCGUCCACACAAAUUCAAUGCAACAGAAAUUGUAAUCAAACUAUACCUGUCUUUAUCUACCAAAAACUAUAUCUGUCUUUUCUUCCACUAUAUGCUAAUAAUUGCAGCACUUAACUAGUACUAACACGGAGAUAAUUUCUCAGCCUGCUUAUAGCUUGUGCUUUUGCAGUUCAAUAGUAAUUAGACUCAACAAUACAAGUCUUAUCUGGUUAAAAUGAAAUCAGUUACAUAGAUCAUAUGACACCACUCAACUCAUUUAAAAGACCAAAUUUUCAGAUAAAUUAUCACAAGACUUGUUAAAUUAUUUUUUAAGACACUUGAGCAACUGCUUUUUGGCUUAACCUGUUUAAUAGUGGCCUUACACUAGUGGAAAGCACGGUUUCUACAUCGGUGGAAGUCCACAUUCAAAGACAGUGCAUAGACGAUGUAGAAUGUAAAGUCGCUAAUAGGCUAACGUUUCAACAACGUUUGUUAAUUGCCCGAUGUUGAAAGCCAUAAUAUUCUAUAUCAGUGCCAACAUAAUGAUCGAUGUUGAAAGCUUCGUAUCUAAAUCGGUGGUGCUUUCAGCAACGACGUUGAGCGCGUUCAUUCAACAUCGUUUGUUAAGCCAUGCAGGUCCUUGAAAUGUUGGCAUUUACAACGGUGCUGGCGAAAACACAGAUGUUGUAAUGACACCAUCUAAGUCAGUGUUCAUUAAAUGCCCGAUAUAAAACAUUGCGUUUUUGAAGUCGUUUCUGCGAGCGACCGAUGUAGAAAUCGCGGGUUUCGUAGACGGUGCUGGCGUAAGCACCGUCUUUGUAAGUUAGUAUUUCAACAUCGGUGCUUACAUCAGCACCGAUGUUGAAAGGGGGUCAACCUGCAAUUAAAAAUUAAUUAUUUUUUUAAUGAAUAUUUGAAAUUUAUUAACUAUAUAUUACUAAUAAUAAAGUUACUUCACACACAGUAACUGCAACAAUACAAAUAAAACAACUCAAAUCUUAAUGACUAGAGCUAGCCAUGCAUGCGCUUAAGGAAAAUUUCUGAUACCCUGUGCUCGAGUAAAUUCAUUUAGUCACUACACAAGUUGGGCAAAAAUAUGUACAAUGGUGAAUACACUUAUGCCCGUUUAGGAUCUGGAGCAUUGCAAUCAGCACAAAAGCGAUUAUCUUUUUGAAGCAAUAAAUCCUUCACUCUUCUUUUACCUAUAACAAACCUACCCAAGUAUAAUUCAGUUUAAAACUUGGUGUUAAGACUUAGAAGUAUUAUUAUCUGGAUGGGCAACCUAAAACUAUAUAUGUACUAACCAUAGAAAGGAGAAUCCCUCAUUUGGUGUCAAUUUUCUUCAUUCUUAAAACCUUUGAACCUUCAAACUCACAUCUAUAUCUUAGAAACUCCUCACAAAUACAAAAUAGUACCAUAAUGGGCAGAAUAGAUUCUCAUGGUUAAAGUUUAAAAGAGAGAGAUGAUUGAGAACAAGUGUACCUAAUGGCCAUUUGGACAUGUAUAUAAGAAAAAAAUAAUGAAAUGGACCUGAGAAGGUGGACUGAAGGAGACAUACAUGUGUAUGAGAGAUAGGAAAGUAUGCUGUCGUGAAUUAGGAUGAAAUGGUGGAGGGAGAGUAACAAAUGUAAAUGUGGCAGCGGGGUAUUGGAUGCAAUGAUGAGAGUAAAGAAAAUGCGAAUAAGGAGGGGGGAUUUUGCAAUGUGGUUUAGUGGCCCAGGCCAAGGACGGAAGAAUGUGUGAAUUCAGCUCGUUCUCUAUUCUGCCCACUUUCUAUGUUACUUGCUGAUUUUUUUUUUUUGUGAAUGUGGCUGAAUUUCUUCUUUCGUAAAUGAGAGUUUCUGGUUGAACUUUAUCUUAGUUUCUAAAUAUAUAUUCCUAAUUUUCUUGUUGGAUGUGCAUUGUGGAUGCCUGCUGCUAGUGUUGGAAAAUGUGAUUCAAUGUCUAUUGGUAAAUGUCAAAUGAUAAUAUGAAUUUGUUCUCUUUCUGUCUGCAGCAUACUUCAUUCAGCCUUGAUGGGAAACUAGAUGUUAUUGUUGGAGACUACCCAGAAGGGUUACUAGUGGAUUCUCAAACAGGAAAGGUUGGCAUGCUCUCUUUGUCUAUAUCAUAGGUUCAUGGCUGUAUAUUUCUCUAAGGACUCUCUUGAAUGGGAUGAGGGUGGGGGGUGGAUGUGCCAAGUGUGAGAAGUUGUGAAUGUCUAAUUUUAAUUUUGAUUGUCUUUGUAGACUAUCACACCUUUUCGUGGACACUUGGAUUUCUCUCAUUUGCAUUUGCAUGGCAUCUUGAUGGCAACAUAUUUGCUACUGGGAACCAAGACAAAACAUGUCGUGUUUGGGAUGUUCGGAACUUGUCAAAAUCCGUUGCUGUUCUUAAAGGCAACCUUGGAGCUAUACGCUCAAUACGUUUCACAUCUGAUGGACAGUUCAUGGCGAUGGUCGAGCCAACUGACUUUGUGCAUGUGUACGACGCAAAGCAUGGAUUUGAGAAGGAGCAAGAGAUUGAUUUUUUUGGGAAGAUCUCUGGUGUAUCCUUUAGCCCUGAUACAUAAUCACUCUUUAUUGGUGUUUGGGAUCGCACCUACAGAAGCCUUCUACAGCUCAAUCGAUGCAGAGAAGUAGUCGAAAUGGAUGAUUGUCGUAAUGGUGAUGGUAGCAGAGUUCAUUGUCGUUUGUAAUGUUGUCAGAUUUAAAGUUAAGACUGUGUCAAUAAAUGUUUGAAGUGUUACCAUAUAAUCGUUUGUAAUAGAGUGAGAUAUAAAGUUAAGAGUGUUCAAUAAAUGUUUAUAGUGUUUUGUAAAUGUUUAAAGUGUGACUAAAGGCAAAGUUAAAAAAUACUUGUUUAUAUAUAUAUAGACACACACACAAGAUAAGUUGUUUCUUAAAAUUAUUAGAUUGAAGGAGGGUGAUAGAGACCAGUCUAAAAACCACUAACAAACCUAGAAGCAUUGAUGAUAUUUCUGAUUUUCUAAUGUCUUUGAACUGUUGGUGAUUGGGUUAUUGUAAAAAAAUCAAGUGGGGGAGGGAAUGGAGAAACAAAAGAAGAGUUUGGAAUUGUUUAAUAUGGUAUAUAUUGAGAGAAAGAGAGAGAGAGGUGGGUGAGCUUUGAAACUAAGUAAAGAAGACUAAUGGCGCCGCUGGUUGGAACAAAAGGUGGGGUCCACGUUACACAUAAGACAGAUAGAGACAGAUAUAUGUCGAGUGCAAAUUGAGAAUUAUUGGGUGCUUCAAUCUAGCACCGCCUUUCCUUUUCUUCUUUCUCCUUCCUUUGGAAAUUCAAACCACUAUCAUUUCCAUUUCGGUCAAAUACUCCUCACUUCUCCUUAACGUUGUUUCUAAACAAUCCUCAUCAAUUCUGUCACACUAAAUCGCUCAUUAUGCUAGCUAAUUACCGGUUAGGUUUCUUUUAAUCCAAAAUCCAAAUCCUACCAACCUUACUAAUUCGUGUGUCUUGAAUAAAGCUGGCUACCUCCUCUCAUUUUCACCUAGACCUACUCAAUCUCCUGAUUAAUUAUUAUCCUUUUAUAAUUAAAAAGAAUAGGGUAGUAGUAUAAGUUUUUUGUGUGCUGCCAAGUAAAUUGAUAGCAGAAACAAAAAUCUCUCUCAUAAUGUUUUUUUUUUACAGGAAUGUCUCUAGUCAUUGGUUAAACUCACUUUCUUUAGCUACAACUUAUUUCUAAUAUUUUAUUUUUGGUCAGCCAAAAAUAUAAUAUAUUCAUUAAUGAGUUUAGAAGUUCAAAUCAUAGCUGGUUCACUAACAGGCCUUGUGAUUACACAAGCUGAGAGAUACUACAGUAAGGUAUUAGUACAGGAAUGUAGCCUAUUUCCCUAUGAUCCAGUCUGGUCAAGAAGAUUUCUGUUAUUUACAAUAUUGAAGAGAGUGGCUCUAAAUUUUCACCCACCCCCGAUGUUUACCAUUUUCCCCCCUACAUUUUGCUUAUUUGUAUAAGCAGUGUUCAUGUUGUGUUUUCUAGAUAGUUAAAACAUCUUCAGAGAAGUUGGUUUUCUCUAUAUAAUUACAUGAUAGGUAGCAAUCCAGUGCCAAUAACUUGAUGCUCUUCAAGACAAGAAUUACAGGCAGCCAUAUUUAUAUGCUAGACCAUAGUAGUUGAUAUUAGUAAAUGAUUUGCUAUAAUUAAUCUACAUGUGUGGUUGACAAUUAAUAAAAAAAAAAUAUUUUUGCUACAUCUUAUUCCUAUGAAGACUUUAACUGAGGGCCUGUUGUAAAUUUGUCAGUUGUUCUGCAAAACUAUCUACUUUCUUAUUUUUUUUAAUCCUUAGCAAUCAAAGAUAGAUCCUAGAAAGUUUAUGACAAUAGAUACUUAGGACUAGAAAGUUUAUAACUAUAGAUACUAGGAGAUUUAUAACAUAACAGAGCUGGACUUCAUUGGUACUGUUUAUCUAUUUAUGGUAAUCUAAAGCUGUAGGAGAUGCUAUCAGUACUAGGCCAGUUGCAAAACUGGAAAUUUAGGUGAUUUAUUUUUUAAAUGAAUUUUUUUUCCAUGGUUUGUGAUGCUGCUUUACCUGAUGCAUGCCAUGCUGUUUCAGGGUUUGAGCCUAUGCUUCCUCUCUCUCUCGCACACACAUAUUGUAUCAAAGGAUAAAUCAUUCAAACCAUGUUCUAGGAGAGUUCUGGAAACUGUAUAUUAUAUUUAUAUUGUUUUUAUAUAAAUUGUUAUUAUUCUAACUUAAUCAGCAACUCAAUUGUGAAUAACUAAAUUUUGUUUCAUAUAUUGUAUUUAAGGAUACUAAUGACUAAAUUCAUUUUUCGAAAAUUUUCCAAAAAUGUAUACCAUGAUGCAGGGCAUUCUGUCAAACAGUAAACCAAUAGCAGUCAAACAACUAUCACCUAAAUUAGAGCAAGGAACCCAUGAGUUUAUAAAAGACAUAGGCAUCAUCUCUGGUUUGUAACACCCUAAUCUUGUUUAACUUUAUGGCUGUUGUGUUGAGGGAAAACAAUAGCCUUGCAGCAGCGUUAUUUGGUUAGGGAUUGCUUUAUAUACUCAAUUUUGGUUCCUUUUAACGUAGCAUUUCAAUGUUGAUAGUACUGGUUGUCUAAAAUCUGUCACUGUCACAAAACACUCACCAGAUAGACAUUUCAAAUUCAGUUGGCCAACAAGGAAGAAGAUUUCUGUUGGUAUUGCUAGAGGUUUAGCUUUCAUGCAUGAAGAAUGAAUUCUAUAAAAGUUGUUCACAGUGAUUUAAAGACCUCUACUACAUAAUGAUAGUACUGGUUGUUCACAGUGAUUUAAAGACCUCUACUACCUAAACCCAUAGAUAUCUGAUUUUGGUUUUACCAGGCUUCGUGAGGGAGACAAUACUCACACCUUUAUCUCAAUUAUAUGUUUAACAAAUAGCUUCAUAAUGAUUUUUCCUACUACAAAACCAUAAUGUAAGCUUGUUUCAACAUUAAGGCACCAACAAUAAUGAAAUCUUGGUACCGUACUUUGACUGCAUUCUCACAUAAUUCAAAGAAGAACUUGGGCAAAAAUAUUAUUUUUUUUGUUAUAAUAUGGCUUAUGGGUGUGGACCUAGCUAGGGUUUGCAAUUUUUUAGCCUUUGCCUAGGGCAUUGGACAGAAUGCAGGACAUAUCCUGCCUUCAGAUGUACACACUACAUUCAUUGGCUCAGAUGAUAGGAUCAAAGCUUCCAACGCACUGCUUGGUGACCCUUUCAUUUACUACAUUGGCUUUCACCAGCUUAAAUACUCUAUAAUUAAUUAAAAUUUUGAACAUACAGCCAAACGAAAAGGUCCAUACAUUUGUUUCAAGUUACAAGCAAAGACCAUAACACAAAGCAAAAAAUAACAACUACCCUACAUGAGGCCAAACAACAAGCAUAAGUAAACUACGUAUAGUCAUGAAACCAGACAAUUACAUUGGGUUCAAGCAUAAAACCCAACAUACACACACAAAUAGUGGGACAAAUAGGGCAAACAACCAACAUACGCACACCCAACAUAACUUAAAUUGGGCAAACACCCAACAUAAAUGCGUUCAAGCAUUGUUCAAUGUUUGAAGGAAAACACUCGUUCACAGUACUUACAUUUCAUGCAGACUUCACAAAUGAACUUUUAUGGCAUUCCUUCGCAGAGAUUGAACGGAACGGUGAAGGCUUCACUUCGAGGGAUUCUGUAAACAGGAAGCACAAAUUGAGGGUCACACAGUUAAAGUGGAACACAAAUUAACGGUAAUGGGCUUUUGAGGGAGUACACAACUACCUUCGAAGACGAUGAACGGAAGAAGAACACAUGCAAGGUCACUAGCUAGGGUUCGAGGUCAAUCUUCACUGAGACCACAGUAGCGCGCUACACCAAAUUAGUGUUUUUGCGAAAUUUUUAAAACCAUAUUCAAAGACGGUGGUUAUGAUAUCUUCAAAUAAACGUCAUUGCACUGCUUAUAAACAUUGUUAAAAGCGGUUUUCUUAAGAAACAUCGUUGUAAACUUUAUCAAAAUUUCAAAAAUGCCACCGCGUGACCAAUUACAACGUUUCUUAUGCGACCGUAGUAGUUAGUGCGUCUUAAAAAACAUAUAUUAAAGUAGUAUUACCUUCAGCAUUUUCGGGGGUUAGGCAAAGGCAACCAAAAUAAUAUUAGAUUAAAUUACUUAUUUGAUCCAUAUAGUUUCACAAUUCGUUCCUUUUAGUUCUUAUAAUUUGAAAGUAAUUUUUUUAAUCCCCAUAAUUUACAUUUUAAUUAUCUUUUAGUCUCUAUAGUUUAAAAGUGAUAUUUUGAGUUCUUAUAAUUUGUAUUUUAAUUAUCUUUUAGUCCCUAUAAUUUGAAAGUGAUCUUUUUAAUCUCAAUGAUUUGUAUUUUAAUUACCUUUUAGUUUUUACUACAAAAAAUAUAUAUAAAAAUAAUUAGUUACAAAUUAGUUAUAAAUUAUCAACUAUUUUUUUAUUACAAAUUAUCUUGCGAUAAAUUAAUUACAAAUUAGUUGCUAAUAUUUUUAUAGUUAAUUGUAAUUGAUAAUAUUACUCAUAUUUUGAUGAUAAGGACUAAAAGUAAAUUAAAAUAUAAAAUAUAGGAAUUAAAAAGACUACUUUCAAACUAUAUUGAUUAAAAAAAAAUUAAAAUGCGAAUCAUAAGGACUCAAAAAACCACUUAAACUACAGGAACUAAAAGAUAAUUAAAAUGUAAAUUAUAUAGACAGAAAAAACCACUUUCAAACUAUGGGAACUAAAAAAUACAAAUAAUGAAACUAUAGAAACAAAAAAGUUCAUUAAACCUAAUAUCUAUCUUCAAAUCUACCCAUUACAACUUACAAAACAAAACAAAAAAAGCAAAACAAUUCAAAAGCUUUAAUCAAACAAUUUUUCUUUUUCCACCAAUCUCCUCAUCAACAUCGACCUCCUUUUUCAUUCGUGGAAUGAAAUGAUGCAAACCAUUUCUUCCAAGGUGUGUCCUUCUGUUGCUCCAACCAUGACAGAAAAACACUGUCCAGCAAGCAGAACAAGUUUACAUAGAGAAGCUGGUACUUCACGGGAAGAUACCAAAAAUUAAAAACCUGGACAACGGGCCACACACCGCCUUCUAAAAUCAGGGCCGGGACGUAAUUCCUCUUCAAGUCAUCCUUCACUUGAGCAACAUUCUUGCCAGCACAUAAUCCCAUGUAAGUAAAGAAGACAAACAAAUGGAGAGGACCAAAAAUUAUGCCAUCCAUUGCCACUUUAGUGGCCACGGAACGCACAGACUUUGGCUUUAGUUGAAGCUUGAACCUUAUAAAUUUGUCCAAACCUUCAUACCUACAAAGACAUGAAAGUUGGUUCCAUGUGAUUACGACUCCUUUAGCAGCAGGAAUUAUAACUUGGUCUGUACUUAUUUUCAGAAGAGCUGUUCUUUAAGCAUGUUAGUGAAAUAAAUGUCACACUUUUCAAUCUUAAAAUCCCAAAGCAAGUCAACUUGAAACUUGAGAGCUAUGUCAAUGCAGUUCCCACUUUUGAAAAUUACAACCACCUUUGAACAAAAAUUCAUGUAAACUAAAGAUUCAACAGAGUUAACAGUGGCAACAGUUAUGAGGGACCUAAUUGCUAACCAACGCUCUCACUAUCCUACUGAUGGAAAGAUCUUGUCUCUUAAUUACUAGGUGAAAUCCAGUGGGUUCAAGUGCACAUUUACAAAUCAGAAUGCAUAUAAUUACUAACCCAGUAGGUACUUAGUAGAUGGCAUGAUAUGGUCAGCAAAUGCUUGAGAAUGAUAUCAAUAUGAUUAAAAAUUAGUGUCCCCAUUUAUAUAGUAUCUUGCAUUCAUAUAUACCCCCUUGCUUAUAGCCUUUCUAAUUCACUUCAUAAUCUUUCCCCACACGUUCCAGAAAAUAAAUUCCCAAGUAAUUUUCAUGAUUCAGAAGGUCUUUACUCUUGACGGAAGUUAUGAAAGCAACAUUUUAGGUAAACUGAAAUCAAAGCUUAACAUGCCCCCUGCCAAAUUCUGAGAAGUACCUAACUCCUACUAAGAGCAUAAACAUUUACAGAGGGAUUUCCAAAACCAGAUGCACUUAUUGCCGAAAAAUCACGAAGUCCAAAGUCCUAUAUAUGUUACGUCUCAAAAAUUGGAUGCAAUCUCAUGUUGUAACAAAGUCAUUUACAAAUCCCCCAGUCCCCACAUAAAAGAUCAUACUUGUGCCAUUACUUUGCAAAUUAAAAUCUGUCUCCUUGAUAUGAAUAUAUUGAAGAAUUUCUUUACAGGUGAAUUACAUGAUAACUGAUCAGCGGAUAAGUAGGCAGUAUGGAAAGCUGGUAAAUAAAAAGAAAAUAUGAUUCACAUACCAGAAGUGGCCCACUGGUCCAACGAAACCGAAUCCAAACAUACUUGUAACAACCAAGCGAUUCCAGUUUAUCGUAAAUUUAGCAUCUGAAUCCUACCACAUACAUCAAUAUAUUAUUAACUAAGGUUGCCAAGAAAUCUUGUCCAUAAUCAAUAAAUCAAAACCAACUUGCUUCAACCAAAAAAUUGUAGAUGCCAACUUAACUUCCCAACAAGGCAAAUUGCCGAAACCACCACCAGGAGAUAUCAAAAUUCAAAAUCAACAAUAAAGCUGGAAAUCAAAAUGAUGUCUAUUGAUGGUAUAUAUAUUUUUCAUUAAAAUCAGCUUCCAUUUUCCAUUAAAAAUACAAAAAGAAAGAAAAAAAAUGUCAUCUUUAGAAAUGCAAACCAUCUUAGCAAGUAUAGAAGCAAGCAAUUGGGAAUCCAAAACAUGUGAACACUUCAACAACAUUGCAGUAUUUGUUAACAUAACAACAAUACAAAAAUUGAUAAAUGAGAAAGGGAAAUGGGUUGUUACAUACAGAUAGUUGAAGGGGUUUUUUUGCAGCUGAAUGAGUGAUGUACUGAGCUGAAAGAUAUCCAACGCCCCAGAGAAUGGCAGAACUGAUGGCUUGGGUCUUUACUGGAUGAACAGAAAGGCAAUUUUGGUACCAGUUCCACACCUUCAUCAUCUUUUCGUUCCACCAACGUACGUAGCAGACAGAUACGAGAUGCUGUGGUGUGGUAGUAGAAAAAACAAGAUAUUGAAGUUUGGUUUCGAAAACAGUAUUUAAUAUGCAGAUUUUGGGGAACUUCGUAAUCGCUUCCACUUUAUGGCAAAACUUGUUUGUCACUUGUUUGCUGAUGGGCUUGGGCUUCAGCUUUCCCAUCACUAUCUCAUUAGGUGUUUGCUUUGGGCACCUAACAUGUUUUUUUGGACACCCAACAACCAAAGUAAAAGGAUUAAAAUGUCUUUCACCUGUUCACUAUAAAAAAAAUAGUGACUCAUCCGUACGAAGCACUCGUUCACACUUCUUCGACAUUUUUUCACGCUUCUUCUUUCUGGUUCUUCAUCUUCUUCCUAGUUUGUGUUCUUCUUUCUAGUUCAGGCUUCUUCUUUGUGGUUCAUCUUCUUCGUUGCUUCCUCAUCUUCGUGGUUCCUGGUUCAUGCUUGUUCUUCUUCUUCGUUGGUUCAUCUUCUCCCAGGUAAGUUAUUCUUCUUUCCAUGUUUUGCUUGAUUCGUUGUUUUUGUUGUUGGUUGUUUGAAUCAUUGUAUUGCGAUUGUUUGAAGCAUUGGCGAUGAAAAAAAUGGAAUUUUUCUGGAGAAAAACCCAUACGGAUCAACAUCCAUAUGGGUCAUAUGGAUUGCUAAUAUGUAUGAGUUUUUUUAAAAAAAAAAAUUGAAUUCUAAAUAUAUAUUUUUGAAUAGUUUUUUAAGUUGUUUUGUAAUAGUUAGUGUAAUUUUAUAAUUUUUUCUGAUUUAUUUGUUAAGUAUUAAUUUUUUUAUAAAAAAAAUAUUUUAUUUAUUACUAAGAUUAAAUUAGAUUGCUAAGACUAAGAUUAGAUUAGAUUGGCCAAAAAAUUAAUUUAAAAUAUUGUAAUAUUAUUUUUUUAACUUUUUCAAAAAAAAAUUGAAACAAAUAUUUAAAGGAUAUUAAAUUUGUUACUUAUAAAAAAUAUUGAAACCAUAAUUUAAAAUAAUUUAAAUUUUUUCGUUAUAAAAAAUAUUGAAACAAAUAUUUUAAUUGUAUAAUAAAUUUUUUAGUUAUAAAAAAUUAUUGAAACCAUAAUUUAAAAUAUUUUAAAAUUUUUAGUUAGUUUUAAAAUAUUGAUGAAACCAAAAUUUAAAAUAUAUUAAGAUUUUUAGUUUUAUAAAAUGAUUGAAAUCAAAUUUUAUUUGUUAGUUAUAAAAAUAUAUUGAAACCAAACUUUAAAAUAUAUUAAGAUUGUUAGUUUUAAAAAAUGAUUGAAACCAAAUCUUAAAUAUAUUAAAUUUGGUAGUUAUAAAAAAUAUUGAAACCAAAAUUUAAAAUAAUUUAAUUUUGUUAGUUUUAGAAAAUAGAGGCAGAUAUUUAAAAGUGAUAAUAAAUUUGUUAGUUUAAAAAAAUGAUUGAAACCAAUUUUUUUUUAAAAUUGUUGAAACCAAGAUUUAAAAUAUAUUAAAAUUGUUUGUUUUAAAAAAUGAUUUAAACAAAAAUUUAAAAGAUUUUAAAUUUGUUAGUUUAAAAAAAUAUUGUGCAGAUAAUAGUUAGAGCUAGAGGUUUCAGACAGACUUUAGGCCGAGCAAUAGGAAAAGCCCUGGGGAAGAGAGAGGCUAGUGAUGAUGAUAAUGAUGUCUCCAGCAGCGAAGGCUUACCACAUCUACCCAUAGGUAAUGACAAGAGACGCAUGUGGUUAAGGAUCCUCCUACGAUCACGGAGGAUUUAAAUGAAGAGCAGCAACAACCACCUGUUGAAGAAGGUGUUACUGAUGUUGAGGAUUUUCCAGGUGGACCCCAUGACACAUCAGUUUUGAGAGAUUUUGAAAAUCAAUUGCUUUGAGUGUCUGGAAUGGAAAGUAUGUAAAUCUUAAAAAACAUAAAGCAUGUAGCUUAUAACUUAUUAUUUUUUUGUUACAUCAUCGACAUUAUUGUUUGCAAGAGCGUCCUGAGUUGAAGCUAUCUUUCCAUGGAAGGAAGAUGGCUAAGUUCAACAGGCAUGCUCCAGAGAUUGAAGUCCUUGUGCCUAUUAGCGAAUUAAGUCCUUUGAUCGCAUGUUCCCUAGAUACAUGCAAUCGAUGACUUAUGUCUGCUUUUGUGGAGCGCUGACAUAAGGAAACUAGUAGUUUCCAUUUGCCCGUAGGAGAGGUGACUAUCACCUUGGAUGAUGUGGCGUCGUUGCUACAUUUGCCUAUCGUAGGGGCGUUCCAUACCUUCGAGCAACUUCAUAUCAACGAAGCUGUCGAUAUGUUGUUGGAAUUACUCGAGAUCAGCGUUGUAGAGGCAUGACCUGAGACAAUUCAAUGUCAUGACUUUUAUGUUCGACUAUCCUGGCUGCGAGACGUGUAUCAAACAAAAAUCAAGGCAUGUCACUAGAUCGUAGCAGCACGAGCGUAUUUGUUGCAUCUGUUUGGAUGCACACUCUUUGCUAACAAGAGUGCCACACGCGUGCACGUUGUAUUCUUGGAUGCACUGUGUGACUUGAAUCAGAGUGGGACGUACGCUUAGGGCGCUGCUGCACUUAUGCAUAUGUAUAAUAAUUUAAAUGAGACGUCAAAGAGCACGGUGAGGCAACUUGCAGGAUAUAUCACUCUGUUUUCAUUGGUGUUGGUUAUUAUAUGUUGUCACCUAAUUUAAUGAAUAUGUUUGCAAAAUAUCUUUAGUGUUGGAUCUACAAGCAUUUCCCUUCUGUUAGUUCCGUCCUAACUACAGAGGAUUAUGACAAGCGGAGACCGCGUGCAUGCUGAUGGACCUCUAGCAAGGCACUACCCAUCUCAAUGUAUUGUAGGCGGCUGGACAAACUGAUCCCCGAUGUUGUGUGUUGGAUUCCAUAUGGUGACCACCGUUCGUUUAGAGAAUUUGAGGUCAUCUUCUUGAUUUUCAACCAUCUCAGAUGGUGUCCCUUGAUGGCAUUCACCGACCAGAGAGAGUUGUAUGACAGUUUAGGUACAUCCAGACCAUUCUGCCACAUCCUACUGCGCCUUCGUCUUCUAUUGAAGAAAUGGAUGCUAGAUGGAUGCAGUUCGGUGACUAUAUUGUACCUAUAGGGAAAAUUUAUGUAGUGCAUGGCCAGUGUUAGUCAGAUUACAUGGAGUGACUCUAUAUGAUUUCACAUUCGUUUAUGACUUUGGCACAACCAGAAGAUCCUCCUUGAGUUCCGCCAAUUCAAUAAUAUGACACAUUUGUUGAACUAGAUAUGCCUCAACAACUGGUGGCGGCAAUGACACCUGAUGAAAUAGACGUUGAUGUGCAUCGUCCUCAACAUGCAGUGGUAAUAUUUUUCUUUUGUAUUUUGUGUUUGUUGUUUUGUUUUUGAUUUUAUUACUAACAACUUUUAUGCUUGUUUUUUUUUCACUUACUAGGAUGGUUAUGUAGCAAUUGUAGAUAAAUUGGAGAGACUACUGAACCUAAGGAUCCUGACCGAAGGAACAGAAGCCUAUAUUGUUGCUGAAGAAUGUCUGAGCAUCGCAAGAAGCUACAUUGGCCAACCAACUGUAGGUCACAGAUCGAGACGUAGGCGGCGUACGGAUGAUCAUUGAAGUUUUUUUUUGCCUUAUAGAUGUUAAUUUUAAUUUUUUGGAUAAUUUAUUUAUUUGGUACAUUCAUUUAUUGACAUUGACAUUUGGUUAAUUUAAAAUUUUGGUGUGUUACUUACGGACACGUUUUUAAUUAUUUUAUACAAAUUUUUGUUAUCCAUUUAUCGUUAAUUAACCGUUAAUGUUAAUUUGAGGAAUAAAUUAAUUCGUCCUUAACAAAUUAUGAAUGUAUUUUUUUGCAACAUUUAAGCAUCAUAAAUCAUUUUCAAACUUCACAACACAUUAUGAAUUGCAUGCGUCUGUUUAAAAAAAUGAAUAUUACACCUACUUAGUGACAUAGAAAUGACUACUCAGUUAUUUUAAUUCUGAUAGUAACAAUGCAUGUCUGAUGCAACAUUAAAGCAUGAAACAACAUUGUUGUACUUGACAACACAUAGGAAGUGACACGCGUUUAUUUAAAAAAAAAAACACAAGCAAUCUAAUUGAACAUCUAUAAAUACCACAAAAACACUCUCAACAAUCACACAUUCUCACUCAAUCUACCUUUACAAACCAAUUUGUAGUAUAAAAACUAUGGCAUUUUUGGGAGAAACAAGUAGUCAAACCAUUGUCAACUCCAGAUUAGCUUUUAUUUUUCCAAAUGGAUCGAUUAUUCACAAUGAAUAUGGUGUUUAUUUCCAAAGUUCCACUCCGAUACCCAUUCGAGUACCUAAUGAUUAUAGUUUUGAAACAAUAAAAAGCAGAAUGCACAAUACCCUUCAACUAAUCAACAAUCAAUAUUUGGAUGAAAUUUACUACCAACAACGAUUCACAGAUGUAGGUAACCAAUUUGCAUUUCAAUCUAUGCAAUUGAAAAAUGACGAUGAUGUUAACAAAAUGUUAAUGUGUAAUGAUCAAUACUCGUGUGUUGCCCCAAUUGAGCUAUUAUGUACCAUUGGUAGAACACCGGAUGGUAUAUUAAACGUACAUCAAGCCACUAUGACUCCUACUAAUGAUAUCCUGCUAUAUCACAACAGGAGGUGGAACAUGUCACGCCAAGAUGACUUUUUGGGUUACUCAUUCAGAGGAAAAAAUCCAAAAAGAUUUGACAUUCUUUCGGGAUGUAGCAUCGACAGACUAAAGGAUGUGAUCAAGUAAGUUGCACCUUAAGGGAUUCCCCUUUAUGGUAUUCAUGAAUUACAAAUGGUAAGGCGAUUGUUUUUUCAAUAACCAGGUCAUUCUGAGUAUUUAGAAAAAGUUAUCAAAUUUGAAAUAAUUGAGCUAAAAAUUGAUGAUGACAUGCUGAAGAUCUUAGUACAGUCUAACUACUAGAAAUGAUUUGGCUCAAUAGAAAUUUUAGCUAUUUUUAGUAAACCGCUAACCAAAAUGGAAGACAUGUCUCGAUUGCAACAUGAUUCAAUGCAAAAUUAGUAUUAGUUAAUUGUAGUUUUUGAUGCAUUUUCUGUUUGUUUCAACUAUGUUGUAAGUUAAUGUAAUGUUUAAAUUGAUGUCCAUUAGCUAAUGAAACUGUAUGUUUAUUAUUUUCAAAGUACUUAUUUAUGCCUAUAUUUUUAACAUGCAUAGCGUAACAAAAUGGAAGACAAAAUAAUUAUUUACAGAAAUGUCAGUGGAAAUAACAUAUUUUAUGUUCAUUCUUCACCUAAAUCAACAAAUUUGGUUUUUAGCCUGGACAAAUUUAUGUAACGUUGCAUUCUACCUAUGUAUAGGGUGGGCCACUGCUUUGCUUCAUAAUGGUAAUGUGUAUUCCACAACAACACCAAUGGUGGUAAAGGACAAUGGUUUCGUAGAAAAACCUGUUACAUAAUGACAAACAGAUUGAAUGUAAGAUAACCAAUAACAUUGUGAGCAUUUAUACUAACAUAAUAAUUAUGCAAUUACCUGAACAAAAUGAUUCACAUACACAUGACCAAUGCAUAUUACAUGAUGCACAAAAUAAUCUGGUGGUGGUUGACUUCUAAGAGGAAAAAAUGUCAUGCUUUGUUGUCUUGAAAAAGAAACAAUAAUCAUGUUGUAUCGUGAAGUAAUGACAUAUCCCAUUUCCAUAAUAUUCAUCCACUUGUCUAUGGUAACCUACAUGUAACAAACAACAAAUAGCAGUUACUUAAAUGUUAAUUUAAGAAAAAGUGACAUAACAAUAAACUUACACACCAUAGAUAAUCCAUCAACAAGUAGGGAAUGCUUUAAUUCCUUAAAUCUCUCUAUGCCACCAAACAGGUUGAUAUACUCUUUCGACCAGUUUGUGAGUUCUUUAUGCAGAUGGUUGCGCACCAAUGAUCACGAUUCUUCACCCAUACCCAAUAAGGCCGCUAUUGCGCAAUAACCACAGUUACCAUACGCUUUGACAUCAACAAUGUUUUCAAUAGAAUCCUGGUUUAUCGCAUGAAAUUGAUUCAACAUUGGAAUAUUCUGUCUCUGUAUUGAUUGCUCAAAUGAUGAUGCACUACAUUUCACUAAAAGAAUUACUAUUUUGGAUAGAGUGUAACGCAUCAACAUACUCCCAAUAAGACAAAUCAUGUUUUGUUGACUUUUGUUGUUGGGUCGACAGUUUUUUUGGAGCACCUUUGGUCUUCACCUUUUCUGGAGGACGACACAUAGAGUUCAGAUCAGGAUAAGCAAUUUCUCGAAGCUUUGUCUUCAAAUUUACUUUGUCACAAGCAUCGAGCUGCUCAAAUCAUUUCGAUAUGGUUUCCAUCUCCUAAGUUAUGGUCACCUCAGCCUCACAUAACCCUUGAUCUAAAAAACUAAGUCUACACCAAAAAAUGUGGAUGGUCUCUAGUGGUAUGGAGCCAACAACAUAUUUAGACAAAUCACAUGCACAUGGAAGACCGUGGUUAGUCCUCACGAUACAUCCACGACGUGAAGGGUUUUUGCCUGCAUAAGGUACACACUCAUACUCACUAGCAAUUUCAUUUAAAGUGUACCUUGCUACCAUGCCAAGUAGUUCUUUGUACAAGGUAACUUUAAACACAUGCCUAACCACGUGCAUACUUGUCUCAAAAAAAGCUUUAAUUUGGGUAUGUUGAACUGUCAACAUGUUGUUCAUUUCUUCUCAACCAUUGUAUAUGUCACCAAGACUAUUUUGUAGAAGUUGUUGGAUCAAGUGGCCUUGAAAUAAUUAAGAAGGGGGGUUUCAAUUAAUUAUGAACAUGUCUUGACUAAUUAAAAAUUUAUUCUUCUUAAUGUUACUAGAUUCAAUUAGGCUUUACUACUAAGUUAUGAGAAAGUAAAGAACAGAAAAAAUAACUUAGACAAAAGUAAAGCGGAAAUAAAAAGUACACAGCGGAAAGAUAAAGAGUAUAGGGAAGAAGAAGACAAACACAAGAUUUAUACUGGUUCGACCACAACCCGUGCCUACGUCCAGUCCCCAAGCAACCACCGGUUCUUGAGAUUUUCAAUAACCUUGUAAAAUCCUUUACAACCAAAGAUCCACAAGGGAUGUACCCUCCGUUGUUCUCUUUGAACAACCAAGUGGAUGUCCCAUCCACUUGAACUGAUCCACAAGAGAUGUACCCUCUCUUGUUCUCAGUAUUACAACCCAAGUAGAUGUACCCUCUACUUGUACCACAAGGAUGUACCCUCCAAUGUGUUAAGACAAAGAAUUCUUAGGCAGUGACUAUCUAACUCGGGGGUGGCACUGAGUUGGACGCGCCUCUCUCUGUGGAAUGACCAUCCUUUGAUGGCCUCGAAGCGCUGCUGGUGCUCGGCGCUCCGGAAAUGGUGACUAUCUAACUCGGGGGUGGCACUGGACCCUUCCGCUGCGGCGUCUCUUCUAGACCUCUUCGUGGAGAGUUUCUUUGGAGGCAUUUCUUGCAAAAUCGUUUAGAAAGUUAGUUCAAGAAAAACUUACUCAAAAUGAAAGCCAAAUCAAGCCAAACAACGUACCCUUUUUCCAACAAAGCAUGAACAUCCAUAUGAAUUUUGAAAGGAAUGCUUACACAUUAAUGCACGGGUUCUCCUAGUAUAUUCAUACAUUUAUACCUAUCUUUCUCUUGAUGAAUGACACCCUACAAGAUGCACCUACUUUUUUUGGCAAAUAAAUUCCUUACACUAUGUGUCAAACUAUCCAUACAUAUUUUCCAAGGCUUUUGCUACCCACCUACCUCAUUCUUUUUGUUAUACGUUCAUACAUUUGAGAGGCAACUUCACAUUAUAUAUUCGCACAUGUUUACACUCAUUUGAAAACAAUUUUAUGUUGCACCUUCAUUGAAAAAGCAAUUUUUGUACUACUCAUUCACAUUCUUGAAAGGCAAUUUCAUAUCAUAUGUUCCUACUUUGAGAAGCAUUUCCGUGCCAUUUUCAACAUAUAUGCACAUUUUGCAAAGCAUUUAGCUACCUAUUCAACAUACACAUGUACAUGGUGAACAACAUUUUCACACUAUCUAGGUACAAGGAAAAUAUGGUGUAGUCCAAACCAAGCGUUGCCGUUAAGGGGAAACCUCACCAACAUGCUCUCACACAUCAUGCCUUCUUGUAUUUCAACAAACAAAAGCAUGCCCCCCCUAGGCCUAAGUCAUGUUUUGGCAUUUAUCCUAAUUCUCGCAAGCUGUCCGCAUCCAAAAAAUGGUAAUCAUACAUACACAAAUACAAUCUAAAAGCCAUUUUUACAAACUUUAGGCAAAAAUACCAUUGGCAUUUCACCGAGCACUUGGUGGGCGCACUUUUGGGUACCAACAACAAGGGAAUGGGGGCAAUGUGGCUUGCCCCAUCAUCUCAGAACACAACCUAGGCCUAAGGCCAUCCCCUACAACCCCUUAAUUCAAAGAAACAAAGCAUAAAUUUGCCCCAAAUUGUCUCACAGAAUUGGUCAAAUUAUGUACCAUUUAAAGCAUAAAAGGCAUCAAUGGAAAGCUAGAAACCAACGGGUAGUGCACUUACUUGUAUGGAGUGACCAAAGACACUAAAAAUGGAAGCCAAAGCGCAAAAAUGGUGGCCUAGGGGCAAAAAUCUGCAAAUCCCGUGGGUGUUACAUUUUUUUGAAUGAGGGAGGGGAGUUUUGGGUGGAGAGAAACUCACCCUCCCUCGUUUUUAUGUUUCUAGGUGCAUGGGUGCUCGCCCAGGCGAGCUAACCCUGUAUUUUUUUUUUUUUUUGGGAAGACACAGGUAUGCGCUCUCUAUGGGUCGGCGUUCGCUUACUCGAACCCCCUUAGGGUAGAUUAGGCAUUCGACAUUUACUUUAAAGACACAACAGUAAUAAUUACUGGGAAUUUAAAGGAUACUAGGCUGCCUCCCAGCUGCGCUUUCCGCUUGUCCAGAGCUGGGCAUGGGACGAAGAUGUAUCGAUUGUGAUCCUAGCCUCUACUCGCGUCUGUCCCUAAGUACCUGAAAACAGGAAACGACAUUGCGCAGCAAACUAUGGUUGCGCUACCGUUUACCUUGAUUGGUCUCUGCCUUUGGAUCCGGCCCGGCAUUUGACCAUUGCCUAAGACGAUUCUGCUCCUGUCAUAAGAUAACAAAAUAUGCAUGUGUAUGCGUAUGCAUGAGCAUUUUCAAAUGCAAUAAUCUUUUUAGUGAAAGCUGGUUAGGUUCAGUUUUAAUUAAGCACUUGGGGCAUUCCAUGGACUGAGCGAAAAGGCUCAGGUUAUCAAAUACUGCACAUAUUUUAAAGCACAUAGUGAGGACCGGAACCUCAAUCCCAUGUUCUCUUCUUUUAAAAGGCUGUGACGAGAAAAUUACAGCGAACAUGAAUCCCUGGGGGAAACCAAGAAGGACACACAAAAAUAAAAGAACAUGCAAUGACUUCCUCAAUUGCCCCAGAUCCUAAGCGUAGUACCGCUUGACAACAUCAGAGUUCACGGGUGAAGGUAGCUCCUCACCAUCCAUGUUGGUGAGCACCAGGGCCCCUCCGGAGAAAGCCCUUUUUACAAUGAAAGGCCCUUCGUAGUUCGGGGCCCACUUCCCUCUGUUGUCUUUCAGAGCUUAGGAGACUUUCUUCAACACCAAGUCCCCUUCGCUGAACCGGCGCGUACGUACCUUCUUGUCAAAAACGUUCUUCACUCGUUUAUGAUAUAAAUGCCCAUGACUCAUGGCGGCCAAACGCUUGCCUUCUAUGAGAUUAAGCUGAUCGAAACGUGCUUGGGCCCAUUCUGAUUCCGCCAAGAUUCUUAAUGACGGGACUUCCACCUCAAACGGUAGCACAUCCUCUAUUCCAUAUACCAACAAGAACGGUGUUGCCCCGGUUGACGUGCACAUUGAGGUUUGGUAACCGUGUAACGCGAAGGGGAGCAUCUCGUGUCAAUCUUUGUAUGACACGGUCAUCUUCUGGAUAAUCUUCUUGAUAUUCUUAUUGGCUACUUCCACGACUCCGUUCAUCUUUGGUCGGUAGGGCGUGGAAUUGUGAUGUUGGAUCUUAAACUCUUCACACAUUUCCCCAUCAUCUUGUUAUUCAAGUUGGUGUCGUUGUCCAUGAUAAUCUUCCUCGGCAAACCGUAUCGGCAGAUGAUUUCCCUCUUAAUGAACCUGACCACCACACUCCUGGUGACGCUAGCGUAUGAUGCGGCUUCGACCCACAUAGUGAAGUAAUCAAUCGCCACUAGGAUGAAACGAUGUCCAUUUGCAGCUUUGGGCUCUAUGGCCCCAAUCACAUCUAUCCCCCACAUGGAAAAUGACCAUGGUGCGGCCAAGACAUUCAAAGGCAAGGGCGGAGCGUUGACAUUGUCUGUGAAUGUCUGGCAUUUAUGACACUUCCUCACAUGGAGACAGCAAUCGCUCUCCAUGGUGAGCCAAUAGUAACCUGCCCUUAAGAUCUUUCUAGCCAUGGCGUGCCCAUUAGCGUGCGUACCAAAAGAGCCCUCAUGGACCUCCCCCAGCAUGUUUUCUGCUUCCUUAGCGUUCACGCAGCAUAGCAGAACCAUGUCAUGGUUUCUCUUGUAUAGUAUGCUUCCACUCAUGAAGAAGCCGGUCGCCAAUCUCCUCAAUGUUCUUUUGUCGUUGUCAGAGACCUCCGGUGGGUACUCUUUGCUUUCAACGUAUUGCUUGAUAUCAAAAUACCAAGCCUUACCGUCCCGUUCCUCUUCCACCCGACAACAAUGUGCGGGUUUGCCACGACACCAGAAUUCAAUGUACGGUAGGUCCCCGUGCGGUGUUAGCUAGAACAUGGACGCUAAAGUGGCAAGUGCAUCUGCCAUUUGAUUUUCCUCUCGGGGAACGUGAUGGAAGGAGAUCUCAUCAAAGAGUUUGAACAACGGUUCAUCAAAGAGAUCACAUUUGUCUCUGUCUCGCAUAAACGCUGAGACAAGGUUCUUUUGGACCUUGAGCAAGCAGCUAACUCCUCUUUUAAGACCAUGCUAUGUGCUCGUGAUUGGUCUCUCUCUUCCCUUCGAAGCUUGAGCUCACUGUUGUUGUCCCACAAAGCUCCACGGAAUUUGUCUCGGCCAUGCUCUUCCUUGCGAGUCCUCUUGGUUUCUUGUUCAAGGGCUCUUGCGGUAGCUGCAUUUUCUUCUCGUAACUCGGCACACUCUUUCCGGACGUCCGUAGCAACUAUCUUGAAUUUUUCUUUGGCAAGUCUUGCUUUUCCUAGUUCUGUUUUUAGAGCUCGGACUUCUUCAUCCUCUUCCGGAGCUUCAAAGUUCUCCUCGUUGAUAAUUUUCAACUUGGAGAGCCAAUCUAACCCUCGUGUAUGAACUUUCAGCCAUUCAUGAUAACCACCGAUGAUGCCAUUACGGAUGCCCCUAAGUUCUUUAUCUUUCCUUAACGGGCUUUCCCACGCCUUGUGGACUCUUUGUAUAAUCUUGAAACUUUGCACGCCAAAAUCUCUCACAAGGAAAGGAUAGAGGCUCUUUUCCGUCGGGCUCCCCUCAUGGGGUACCCUAACUGUCUUAUAGCAAGUGCGGGAUUGUAGUUAAUACAACCCUUCGUCCCUAUCAACGUGACGUUUGGGUAGUCCCCACAUGAGAAGAGAACUCCCUCCUUUCCUUCCUUCCAUCGAGGAAACCAUUUGAUUGUUCUGCCUCCUAUCCCAACCAAGUGUUGGUCCCAAUCUACUCUUGUCUUUUCGACACAUGAGCGAUGGCUUCGGAGCGGACAUAGGUGUCUUAUGUCUUGUUGGAAUAGGUGCGAAACCAACCAUACACAAAGAGCGGGUAAGCAGCAGAUGAUCCGUGCGCUACUCUUCUCAGUCCUUCGGUCAAAUGUAUCAAAUAAGUCCGCCAAGAUAGCUACCACCGGGCUCUCUUUGCUAUGGUGAUAUGCAAGGAAAGCAUCAAUCGCAGCUAGGUCCACCAAACCGUCCGCGUUUGGAAAGAGGACAACCCCAAAGAUUAGCAAUGCUAAUACGUCCACAAACGGGACCCACUCCUCUUGAUUCGCCAUAUCUCUUGCCUUGCCUUCCAAGUACUUCCGUGGUAGGCCCACUAUGCCGUUUCGAGUUUGCUUUACACGAUCUAACUCUCUUGCCGAAUCCCUGACCACAAUUGCAAUCUUGCUCAAGGAGGGAAGAAACCCGGAGAAAAGAUACGGUUUUCUUCCCCCAAGAGGACAUCCUAGAAUCUCCUCAAAUUCUUCAACAGUCGGUACUAAUUGGAAGUCUCCAAACGUGAAGCAUCUCAAAGGCUGGUCAUAGUAUUGGGUGAGGGAUACAACGGUUUCCGUGAAUAUCUCCGCUAUGGUCAAAUCUAAAAUCUUUCCGUACGCCUUGCGGAAGGCUUGCAUUUGGAGAGGUCCCAUCAACCGCCCUAACUCUUUAAGGCUGGUGACAUCUAGGCCCUUAAUCUUGACUUGAUAGAAUCUUUUUCCGGUUUGAUUUGUUCCCAUGUUUUACUAAAGCGAAACAAAACCAGUGCGAAUCAAAACUCCGACAUCUAUCAUGGGUGGAAUGGAUGAAUGCAUGAAGAAAUGCAUAUGACACAAAUGCAAUUUUAUGAAUACGGGAGCCCGGGAAAUUGUCUCCUUCUUAGAUACAACGUUUGGGGUAGCACGGCGCCCGAUGUAUGUAUUUAAGAAGGUGACACAGACCCUCCGUUGGUUUGCCAAAGUGAGGGGAUCAAGACGAAACCCGUGCAUGAUGCAUAUGCGAAAGGCACAACACGGGGAUGUACAUAGUACAACAAUAUCCACAAACAAAUAUAAUCAAAGGGCUACACGACAUUUGACUACAUGCAUGGCAGUGUAAAAAAUGGCACGCAGUGUGUUUGCUUCGUGCCCCUAUUUUAGGGACCUAUAUGGGAGGGAGCUAAAAGGGCUUUUAGUGAUAAUUCCCAAGGUGGUCAUAUCUCUCUUGAUGGUCUCUAGAGGUAUCAUCCCCUUCGAAGAACAUAUUGCGGCAAUAGGGACUACUAGCAACAAUAUGUUAUCAAAGAGAAAAACUCUAGAUGAGGGUUCACUAUAAUCAAGCAAGUCGGAGACCUAGCAUGACCACAAAUUCACCUCCACUCCUUAUGUUCCCACGGACCCGGGUAUAGGGCCCCUUUCCAACUCAUCGUGUGUGCAAAUAGUGUUUAUAUAUACAAGAACAUAAGAAGAAGAAAAAAAGACAAAGAAAAAGAACAAAAGGGAAGUAAUAGUAAGGAAAGCACACUAAUUGAUUGGCCUAACUCUUUAAAAAACGUCCCCAGUGGAGUCACCAACUGUCGCAACCUACCCUUCGACGGGAGGGCGACGUGAGACUCAUGGGUGCGUCUUCCAAGAAAGGAAAACGUGCGGAGUCGCCACCAACGUUUAUUCGAGAAAAACGUCAGAAAAACCGGAAAAGGCGUGGUCUACGAACUAUAAGGGUGAAAGGUUCGGGAGUUGUAUUUACGCAUGGGGAAUGUAUUAGCACCCCACACGUCCGUCACAAGGGACGACAACCUUUAAGUGUGCAAAUAUGACUUCAAUUUGUUUUAUCUUCCCCUUUUUACGUUUUUAUGCCUUUUUGUAUUUUUUAUCUUUUUGUGGUCGACAAGGGUGUUUCCCUUGCUCCUACGUAUUCCUCAAUUGUGAUAAGGAAAUCAGACCUACGUAGUUUUUUGAGAACUAAACGUUGGUUAAAUUGUUUUUAUCUUUUUGCAAGAUAUAUUUUGAUUCAAUAAAAGGUCAUUUAAGGCGUUGGACCAUUAAACAGUCUUUCGAUUCUUUUGAAAUGAGAAAAAACAUUAAGGCAUUAGACCAUUAAUGAUCUCUUGGUUUUUUGAAAGAGGUGACAAAGCUUAUGUGUUGAUUUUAGGUUUUUUAAAAAUCCACGUUUAACCAAUAAAAGCGGAAAAGACCAUUUUAAGACGUUGGACCUUACAAAUGGUUUUUAGGUGAUGACAAAAGCUUGGUUUAUGAAUUGAUUUUAGCCUUAGUUUCACUUUGGUUAUUAGUCAAUUCAAUUAAGAAAGAAAAUCCCAAAGAAAAACAUCCGAUUGAUUUUUUAUUAUUAUUUUAUUUAAAGAUAUUUUUUAUUAUUAUAUUAUUAUUUUGCCUCUUUUUGGUUUUAAACGUGGUUACGACAUGAUAGAUCGGUCGGAUUUUAUUCUAACAGAAAUUAAAAGAUGUUACAACUUAAAUGAUCGGUGGAAAUUUAUUUUAUUUUUUAUUAGGCGAGAAAAUGACUUAACUAAAUGACUAAAGCACGUCAAAAGGGGGUACGGAAAGCAAAUGAAAUAAAAAUAAAAGCACGUGAAAUAAGUGGAGACCACUAAAGGUACAUAGAAUGAAUUGAAAGGUUUGAUUUCGGGAAAUUACCGGUUGAAGAUCGAAGAAUGACGAAGAACGAACGAAGAAUGAUGAAGAACGGUGGAAAACCUUCGAGAAAUCACCCACGGAAACGUCUCGGAAGCAUUAUGGAAGCGCCUCGGCUUGGAUUUUCUUCACGGAAACAAUUUUCCUCACUAAUUUUAAGUGAUUCUCAUAUACCAGGAAGGUUGAACAAAUUUGUUCUGCACUCCUUCCCCUAUUUAUAGGGAAAAAAGGGAGGUGGUUGUCGCCCAGCUCGCCCAAGCGAGCUGAGUUGCUUCCACCAGAAGGCACCGCCUUCUGUUGGAACAUCCUGGAAGGCCCAAGUGGGCCUGAUUGCUAUUUGCACACCCCUGUUUACUAAAUGCACCCCCUCUGCCCUUUUUUGUUGAUUCUUUUUCCGUAAUGUUACGAAUUACGUAACGAUACUUGUUUUCUUUCCGUAAUGUCACGAAACCUUACGGAUUAUGCAAUCAUGCCCUCUUUGGCUUUCGGAAUGUUACAGAACUUUACGGAUUGCGCAUUAACACUUCCUUUCGACUCCCGACAUGUCGCGAAAUUUCACGAAUUGCCUAACGAUGGGUAUCAAGUACCUCGAAGUGGUCAAGCGAAGGUCGCAUCCCACCAAACAGAUGGUUCCCGAACGAAAUUAGGGUAUGACAGGUAAAAUUUGAGAAAACUCUUUUGUAAAACAAAAUUGUGCUAUGUUUGGUUUUUGAAAAAUCCUUUUCAAUACUUCCCUUGUGAAGUCUUGACUUAUUGCUUCUUGAUUUCUUCUCUUGAAUCUUGAAUUCAUCUUCUCUUGAUUCUUCUUGAUGUCUUUUCUUGAAUCUUGAAAUCAAUCUUGAUCUUGAACUUGUUGACUUAAUCUUAAAAUCAUUCUUUUGGGUUCUUUUGGGCUUUUUGUCAUCAUCAAAACUACUUGACUCAUACUUGAUUCAUCAUCAUGAAGCUUGCUUCUACACUGAAGUUAAUGAGAUGCAAGAAGUAACCAAUCCAUGCCCGUGCACACUGCCACCAUCACCAACACAACAUGACCAACAGCACUAGCAAGAAGAAGUAGAAGAAGUCCCACAACAACAACUUCGAAGAUCAGCAAGGCCACACAAACCGAAUCCAAAGUACACAAAUGUUGGAAUUUUUGCUUGUGAACCUCCAAAGUUUGAGGAAGCAUCGAAAAAAGAAGUUUGGAGAAAAUCCAUGGAUGAGGAAAUCAAAAUGAUAGACAAAAAUCAUACAUGGGAGCUCAUGCAAAAACCAGAAGACCAAGAGAUCAUUGGCUUGAAAUGGGUUUACAAAAUUAAAUAUAAUGAGGAUGGAACAAUCCAGAAACACAAAGUACGACUUGUCACCAAAGGCUAUUCACAACUGCCAGGAGUUGAUUUAAAUGAGACAUUUGCUCCCGUUGUGCGCAUGGAAACAAUCAGAACUGUACUAGCCUUAGUUGCACAGUUGAAGCUACAAGUCUACUAGCUAGAUGUAAAAUCAUCUUUCUUGAAUGGAGAGAUUGAAGAAGAAGUCUACGUGGAGCAACCACAAGGAUACAAAGUGUUCAAGGAGAAGAAGACAAAGUAUAUCGCUUGAAAAAGGCACUUUAUGGUCUCAAACAAGCUCCCCAAGCAUGGAACAACAAAAUAGACAAAUACCUCGUCGAGCAUAGAUUCCUCAAAAGUCCAAGUGAGUCGUCACUAUAUGUGAAGAUGCAAGGUAAUCAUUUCUUGAUUUUGUGCCUAUACGUAGAUGAUUUAAUCUACACCGGCAACAACUCACAGAUGAUGGAAGAAUUCAAAAAGGCUAUGAUGCAAGAGUAUGAAAUGACCGAUCUUGGACUCAUGAGAUAUUUUCUCGGCAUGCAGGUCAAGCAAAGACCUGGACAAAUAUUUAUCUCGCAAGAAAAUAUGCGGAUGACUUACUGAAGAAGUUCAACAUGCAAGAUUGCAAACCACUUGCCACACCUAUGGCGAUGAACGAGAAGCUUUCAAAAGAUGAUGGGCAAAACAAAGUUGAUGAAAUAAUUUAUAGAAGCCUUGUCGGUUCGCUAAUCUACUUAACCAACUUAAGGCCAGACAUCAUACAUGCAGUUAGCAUCGUGUCUAGAUUCAUGAGUAACCCAAGCAAAGCACACUUUGCAGCAGCCAAGAGAAUCCUAAGAUAUGUCAAAGGCACAAAGGAUUUUGGCAUUUUGUACGAGGUAGAUAGAGACUUUAACUUGACAGGUUAUACAAAUAGCAACUGGGCAAGAAGCACAGAUGAUAGAAAAAGCACAAGUGGAUAUGUGUUUCUUCUAGGCAACAAAGCAAUAUCAUGGGCGUCAAAGAAGCAGAAUACAUGGUUGCAACAAGCGUUGCGUGUGAAGCGACAUGGCUCAGAAAAAUUCUGCAAGACGUACAACAAGACUCCAAGACUCCAACAGUUAUUCAUUGUGAUAAUAUGUCAGCUAUUGCAAUGACUAAGAAUCCAAUAUUCCACAGCCGUACAAAGCACAUUGAGAUUAGAUACCACUUCAUCAGAGAGCUCGUGGAACGUGGAGAAAUCAAAAUGGAGUUCCGCAAGACUGAAGAAUAAUUAGCAGACAUCUUCACCAAGCCAAUUACAAUAGAGAAGUUCAUCAAAUUUAGAGACAUGCUUGGAGUUCAAGACUUUUCUAGAUUAAGGGGGAGUGUUGAAGAUUAAUCUAGAAAAGUAUAGAUGUAUAAUUGGUGGUCCAUUAUCUAGAGAAUUCUACACCUAUGGAGAUGUUGUAGUGUGUAGAAACUUCUUGAUGGAUGUAGAAAAAUAUCUUAUUAUCUAAAGUCAUAGAAGCACCUAGAACAUUAUAGAGAUGAAUGGUAGAUGAUAGAUGAGUCUAGAAGACUCUAGGACUAAGUAGUAUAGAAGUGUGUAGAAAUCACCUAUGUAACCUAUAUAAAGGCAUAAGUUGUAGCAAGUCAUGUAAUGUAAGUCAAGAAGCUAAUAAGCACAAUUCAAGUUAAGGUGUCAAUUUUAUGAAAACCCAUCCUCUUCCUACUCUCAUCAUUUCUAUCAUACAAUUCUAUCAUAUCUUUUCAUAGAAAAAAAGACAUAACCACGUCUCAUAUCCUAACAUGAAGUUAUCAUUAGCUGUGAAUAUAGUUGUAGUUAUUUUAGGUUUUGGCUUAAUGUUAAUCCAACUGUCCCUAACCAAUCUGAUCUCUAUACAUUCUUAAAUCUCACUCCUUGCACACUUUCAUCAACAAACAUUCACAUUAUACAACCAAAAACGUUUCUAAUAAAAAUUGGACAAUGAUAUGGAAUGGUUUAAAGAAAGGGCUAAAAAAAGCAUUAAAACAACAUACUAGCAUACCGGGAAAGUAGACUUCAACAUCACGGCAGUUCUCAAUUCUAGUUAAAACCUGAAAUUGAGACAAACAUCAAACAACUGAAAAUAAGGAAUUGAUCAACAUAUAUUGUAUCUGCAUUAACAAGGAUACUUAUUGCGUCAUGUCACUUGACAUUUAAAGUUUAAACUCCCACUUUUGCUAUCGAGCUCAAAGCAAUAAUGUUUUGUUGGUUGAAAGGAAGGUGGAAAAGAAAAGGUGAGAAAAGUUCACUUCUAAAAAUAAAAAUUCAAUUUUUUUUCUGUUUUUCUUUCCUUUCUUUAUAAGAUUCGGAAAACAUUGACCAAGUUAAACCACAAUAACAUUGAAGCCAAUCUAUUACAUUUACUAAACAAACAAAAUAUUAAAUUGCAAAAAGCAGAAAGAAGAACGUUGUCAUAAUUUUCAUUAUUCACUUCACAUUGUCCCCAUAAAGCUUAUAUAUCAUAUACAAACACAACGUGCUGAAUUAGUACAUUCAAGAAACAUGAUUAAUUAAGAAAUGGAAAAAUUCCUAGCAACACACUACCCAAUACAAUACAACAUGAAAGAAAUAUCAAAACACACACAAACCUGAUAGGUGGUGGGUCAGAGUAAUCAUUAAGGGUUCAGGGAAAUAAUGCAACACCUCUAGAGCAAUUAACAAGACAAUAGGGGAGAAAAACAAUACUUUAGAACACGUCACCUUACAAAAGACUGGCGGGUUCAAUUUCUCAACCAUAAUAUAUUAUAACCACGCACCUUAGUCAUUUUUUUUCUUCUUCUUUUUAACAAUUUCCUGCAAUAUAUCUUAUCACUGCAAUAAUACAUAAACUGCCUAAAAAGAUGAAUAGAUAAAACCUUACCUUCAAUAUCGAAGCAAUAUCGUCUAAUGAUAAAGGGUGUGAGAAAGAAGAGAAAACAUGGAGAGAAAGGAAGAAUCAGAAAGCAUGGUAAUGCAAUGUUGAACCAUCAACCAUGAAACAUGCUCUAUGCGAUGCAUGUCUAAAGAAAAAACAAUUCUUCUCUCUGAUUCUUCCUCCCUCUCCAGAUCUUCUCUUCCUUCUUGAAUAGAAAUCCUGAACCAUAAAGAAAUGCAGAAGCGUGUUUUGAUUCCUAAGAUUGUGUAGCUGUAUUUAGAUCACAGCUAUAACUAAAGUUUGAAUUUAAAAGUAAAAUGGAACGAGAUAAAGAUAGAUGCAACUGAACAAUAGAUAAUGAUAAAAGAUAACAUUAAGUUUGAAAAUUGAAUAUUUUCUUAAUUAAAAGUUUGAAAGUUCUAAAUAAGUUUGAUUUAAAUAUUUUUUUACAAUUUUAACACGAUGUGUAAUAAAUAUGAUUGUCAUAAUGUAAUAAAAAUAAUAUAUAUAAGAUUUAUCAAAUAAGAAAUCAAAUAUUUUAAAUAUUUAAUUUACGUGAGGAUCAUCAUCACAACCACUAUCAUUGUUACAACCACAAUCAUCAUGAUCUCCUUUAACGGUGGUGGGUGACAACAGUCAUGUUAGUGGUCAUGACGGCAAUCGUGUUCAUGGUGAUUGUGACAAUAACAACAAAAAUCAUGUUAGUGAUUACGACUUGAGGAUCUCAGUGGUUGUUGCGAUGACGGUCAUGAUAGUUGUGACGAAAACGGUCAUGAGAGGUUGAUGGUGACAAUAAGAUUAAUUAUUCUUAUUUUUCACAUAAAAAUAGUCAUUCUCAUGUAAUAUAUAUAUAUAUAUAUAUAUAUAUAUAUAUAAAUCUAUAAUUUAAACUUUAACGCUGGCUAAUAAAUGGAAAUGUGUUUCCCAUUUAAACCUUUUUAUUUUACGCUAAAUUAUAUGUUCCGAAGGUUUCAGACUUUUAUUUUUAGUAAUCAAAGGACUUUAUGGUAUCAAUUCUUUUAUAAAACGAAUGCUUGUAAAUAUAUGUGAAGUAUAAAAAUAUUAAUUUAAAAUAGAAAGAUUAAUUUAUGGUUUUUUUAAUUUUAUAUUUUAAAAAAAAUAAUUAAAAGAUAUAUCUUUUAUUCAUGUAUAUUUUCAACAGAAGGUAAAAUCUAAAAAAGCUUUUUAGUAUUUUUUUCACAAGUAAAAACAAUUAGUUUUAAAUAAAGUUUAAAAAAUAUCAUAAAAAUAUUUUUUGAGUUUAAAUAAACAUAUACUUAAUUGUUAAAAAAUAAUUUCAUUAUCAAUAAAAUUAUAAAUUAAAAUAAAAAUUGCAAGAACUUUCAACUUAAAACAAAUCUCAAGGACUAUAUAUUUGAAUGGGAGACUAGAAGAUAUAGGCAUAUCAGAUUUUUCUAUUUUUUUUUUAUUUGUUUUCCACUUUUUUUUUAUAAGAAAUUCUGUUUAAGGUAGCGAUGGAUAUUAAAUAUGAAUAUUGGUUGUUCCGUUGGAAAAUUUUUAAGAUUUAAUUCACCCCCCUCUCUUAAGUUACUGAGGCCACUUAUUCAACAAAAGUUCCACAAUGAUACUUUUCAAAUAUUAAGAGCCUUGUGCUGUUGAAAGAUCUUAAGUUGGUAGGCUUAAAGUCUCACGAUUGUCACGUCUUGAUGCAACAAUUGUUAGCCGUGGCCAUACGAGACAUUUUGUCUAACAAAGUCAAGCUUGCCAUAACUCAGCUGUGCUUAUUCUUCAAUGCCAUAUGUAGCAAAGUCCUUGAUCCUGUCAAAUUAGAUGAGUUGGAAAAUGAGGCUGCCAUUAUAUUGUGUCAUUUGAAGAUAUAUUUUCCUCCUACUUUCUUCGACAUCAUGGUCCACUUAAUUGUUCAUCUGGUCAGAGAAAUCAAAUGUUGUGGUCUUGUUUAUUUGCGAUGGAUGUACCCGGUUGAGCGAUACAUGAAGAUCUUAAAAUGGUAUACAAAGAAUCUACAUCGUCUGAAAGCAUCUAUUGUGGAAAAGAUACAUCGCAAAAGAAGCUAUUGAGUUUUGUUUAGAGUACACUGAAAAGGAAAAACAUGUUGGGCUUCCCAAGUCUCGGCAUGAUGAAAGAGUGGGAGGUAAGGGUUCAAGAGGACUGCAUGUUAUCACUCCAAGUGUAGAAGAUUUGCAACAAGACCAUUUGUAUGUAUUGAAUAAUAAUAAUGAAGUUUUUCCAUACAUACUUCACCAUGAAAGGUUUAGUGAAGGAAAGUAAUCCAAAAAUGUCGAAGAACAGGAUGUUGAAAGAGCAUAACAAGACUUUCCUAAAUUGGUUUAAAGAUACAAUCUUUGGUGAUGAUAAUGCUUCUGAAACAUUAAGAAAGCUAGCAGAUGGGCCUAAAAGAAAUGUUAUAACUUGGCAAGGAUAAGUUAUAAACAAGUAUUCCUUCUAUACAAAAGCACAAGAUGAGAAAAGUACAAUACAAAACAGUUGGGUUACCUUAAGGGCUGAAUCUCAACACUUCGCUAGUGUACAUGAUGACAAUCCUCAUAUAGCUUUCAUCCCUUACUUUGGUUUCGUUGAAGAAAUCUAGGAGCUUAAUUAUGUCAAAUUCAUUGUUUGUGUUUUCAAAUGUAAGUGGAUUGACAACAAUAUUGGUGUGCGGACCAAUGAUGUUGAAUUUACGUUGGUAGAUCUUAAGAAACUCGCUUACCAGAAUGACCCUUUCAUCAUGGAAGAACAAGCUAAACAGGUAUUUUAUGUUCAAGACCCUUGUGAUGAAAGGUGGUCGAUGGUUCUACACGGGAAAACAAUUGGUGUUAAUGUUGAAGAUGAUGAUUCGCUCAUUGAUACUUAUGUUAGUCCUUUGUCCACACAAAUCUCGCCUACCAUCGUCGGAGAAGAAGAAGAUGAUGACGUUCAUGCAAAUCGUAAUGAUCAUGAUGAAGGAGAAUUAAUUAAUAUCGUCUAAUGUAAUUUUUUUUAUAUGUACUUCAUUUCAGUUUAUUCAAUUACAUAACAUAAAAUAAUAGUUUUAUGAUUAUUUUUAAAAUUAAUGUUUCUUUCUUAACAAGAAAAUGGAUACACCACCCAGCUCCGCUCCUCUUCCUCCUCCUACACACACACACACACACACCCACGCACGCACGCACACACACACACACACACACUCCCUCACUCACACUCACUCACUCACUCACUCACUCACACUCACUCACUCACACUCUCACACACACUCACACUCACUCACUCACACACACACACACACUCACACUCACUCACUCACUCACUUCAAUUACGGAACAACUACUUCACGGGACCACCAAAAGAGCAAUAGCAAGAACACAGGGAUGCAGGUGAAAUGGAAGGGUGUAAAACGAAAAACCAACACAGUAAAUUUAAAGAAAACUACACAGGGGCAAAAUCGUCAUUACAUAUGCAUUAGAUAUUAUUUUAUUUUUUAUUAUUAUUAUAAAAUGAAAUUUAUUUUUACUUGACGUUGUUAUAAAAUUAUAAUUAUUUUUUUAUUAUAUAUUAAGUUUUGUAAUACAAAUUAAAUGUUAUCAUAAUAAAUAUUUUAUAUUUUUUAUAAAAUAUACGAAUUAAUUAAUUUUUAUGAUUUAAAUUAUACUAAAUUGUCACACAAAUUAUUAUUUACAUUUACAUGCGCGUAAAAAAGGAAUUACAAAUAUUAGUCAUAAUUAUGUUUACUACUAAUUUAUGUACAAUAACAUUAUUUAUUUUAAAACGUAAUUUAUUUAUUAAAAUUAAAUAAUUAGAAAACAAAGUAUUUUUUAAAAAAUAAACAAAUUCCGGAAGACCCUUCUUCCGGAAGAAGAAGGUGUGAUUCCGGAAUUCUUCCGGAAGAAAUCCGGAAUGUUUCCGAAAGAAGGGUCUUCCGAAAAUAACCUUUGUGGAAGGGCAAAAUUGCCCAUUCACUGUUUGCUGGUGCACGUAGCAACUCCCUUUAAAUGAGCCCAAUUUGUCCAAGACCCGCAAGCCCAAAUAUCAGUCAUCUCCUUCACAGGAAUCCUCAAUCUGAAACUAGCUUGACGCCGCUCUGCCACGGCUGAGAAAAUAGCGACGCGGAAACACGCUCGUCUUCACGAUCCAGCGAUUCCGCUCUCCGACGAGUCUGCGUAAGGUGAAGAAUCACGAGGCCAGCCGCCGGUGAAGAAUCGCGCGAUUCGUCUGGAAAUCGCGAUUCAAGCUCGAUUCAUCUCCGUUAUAGAGAUUCAACCACGAUUCAGGAACAAAAACAAGACAACUUCCGAUUCGUUUCAGUAGCAGCUAGAAUCGUAUCGAAUCGUGCGACACGUAUCGUGAACCGUACGAUACUAACUACCAUGUGCAUAAUUAGAGUUUAGUUGCUCUGUGUUAUUGUCUUUUUUGCUGUGUCUUGUUUUGUUCAUCACUUUCUGUCCCAUAACUGUAUGUAUGUAUUGUUGAUAAGGGUUUUUAUGAUUUUUGACUUAUAGGGCAAUUUUUGCUGCUGAAAUUUCUGUUGUUUUGAUUCAUUUCCACUUCAACAUUUUGGAGAUAUUAGUAUUUGGGAGUUACGACGUUUGGUCAAAGAUGAUUACGAACCCUUCAUUGCAUGCUUCAACAUUGCCAAGUGCUUUAUCUUCAUCUCUGGUUACUCUACAUGGAAGUUUUGUAAAUUGUAUGCCCUGCUUUCCAUUUAGACCCCAGAGAAAAAUCAAUAGGAUAAGAGCUACAUCUGCUGCAGAUGGAGGGCCUGUUGAGUCAUCGCCAGCUUCGGGAUCAAAGAAUCCUCUUGCGGUUGUUUUGGACAUUCCUGGUACCCUUUGGAAGCAAACAAUGCGUCCAUUAAGUGAUUUUGGGUUUGGUGGUAGGAGCAUAUGGGAAGGUGGGGUAGGAUUGUUUUUAGUUUCAGGUGCAGUUCUAUUUGCACUUAGUUUGGCCUGGUUGAAGGGUUUCCAAAUGCGAUCCAAAUUGAGGAAGUACACAGCAACAUUUGAGUUUGAUCAGGCUUGUGGUAUAUGCACUGGAACUCCUGUGAGGAUCAGAGGUGUGACUGUUGGUGACGUCAUUGGUGUGAAUCCUUCCUUAAGAAGUAUUGAAGCUAUUGUUGAGGUGCCGCUUAAUAACAAAAUGUUUUGGAUGGAUAUGAAACUUUGUUUAACUUUCUGUUCCCUAACAUCCCAGUAUUAAAAUAUUGCUUGGCUUUGAACUUUGUUAUUUCAGUUGGCGCGUUAAGUUUAAACCUUUGGUUUCUUCUAUUUGUAGAUUGAAGAUGAUAAAACAAUCAUACCACGGAAUUCAUUGGUUGAAGUUAACCAGUCGGGUCUUCUUAUGGAAACUAUAAUCGACAUUACUCCUCGUGAUCCUAUUCCAACACCUUCCGCUGGACCUCUUGACCAAGAAUGUUCUAGAGAAGCUCUCAUAGUUUGUGAUAGAGAAAAGAUUAAGGGUAUAGAAGGAGUAAGUUUGGAUAAAUUGGUUGGGAUAUUUACCCGUCUUGGGCAAGAUGUAGAGAAAAUUGGCAUUGCUAAUAGCUAUUCGUUGGCUGAACGAGCUGCUUCAAUAAUCGAAGAAGCAAAACCACUUCUUAUAAAGGUGUGAUGUAACUUUCUUAUGGUUGUGUGCUUGAUUGAUGAUAAAAUAUCCUCUGAACUAGACUGCUGAAUCAAGCGAUUUUCUUGCCAAUACAAAAUGGAUGGUUUCCUGACUUUGAGUUUUUUUUAGUAUUAGAAACUAGAACAAGAUUGUUUGUUAAUGCCUUGGAUUCUCUGUUUGAAAGUCUUGAUUUGGGAAUUUAGUUGUAUUGUAUGCUCUUAUUAUAUUGAUGGUAACCUGUUACCUUUUCCAGCAAGAUUUUACUAAUUUGGGUGCAUUUGGUUAAACAAUUUAGUUAAGCACUUAUUCAAUAAGCUCCUAUCACAUUAGGGCUCAUGCCAUAAAUUUGAUCAUGAAAACUUAUCAGCAAAAUAGAGCUUAUUUUGAUAAGCUACACCAAGAAGUCAUAAGUUAUCUUCGUAAGCUUAAAUAGGCUCCCCGUUAGCUCUUUCAAAUGCACUCUUAGAGAAGUUAAUGAAAGAACUUGGCACAUGGAACUUGAUUUUCAAAGAUAUGUCAUUGUAAUCUGGAAGCUUAAUAUUCAUGUUCCAAUAAAUACCUUAUGUAUUCAAUAUUUUGGGCUAUUCUCCUAUGGCAUACUUGCAGCAAUUGCAUCAAUUAUUGUAAUCAAAAGCAAAAAACAUAUUCCAUAUAAAAAUCUUCUGACCUCAUGCAGAUUCUGAGGAACUUAUUUUGGACUUGUACUAAUUUUCUUUUGGCUUCAUUAUCCAUUAAAUAGUAAUAUGUUUUACAUUAUGUACAAUUUGGUAAUUGAUAACCAGAGUGAGACUAUAAUUAUCUAUGAUCUCUGGUGUCUUAAAUGCACCUACAUCAUAUUUAUGGUUUUCAGGUUCUUUGUUGUGUGUGUGUGUGUAUUGUUUCCUUUAUAUAUAUUGUUGUGUGUGUGUUGUUUCCUUUUAUAUCAUAUCAUUCUAUCAUGCAUUCUCAUACCCGUAUUUUCCAUUUGAUUUAGUGAUGUCACAGAUGAAAGCCAUGGCUGAAGAUGUUCAACCUUUGUUGACUGAAGUCCGUGAUAGUGGCCUGUUGAAGGAAGUUGAGACUUUAACCCAAAGCCUUACACAAGCGACUGAGGAUUUGAGGUUAGUUUGUAAAUCUCAAUGGCAUUUGUUCAACUCUAAUUUAGCACACAUACAUAUACACCAUGUUGUGAAAAUUGAGACCUUGCUUGGGAUUGGAAGGUAGAUGAAAGAUUGUAAGUUGGAAAAUCGUAACAUGGAUUGUAUGAUCUUUCAAAAUUAUGCAAAAGUUGUACAUGUAAUUAAGAUGACAUAGGUAAGGAAAAUAUCCUCUAAUUCAUCAACAUCCAACUAAUCUUAAAUAAAAAUUCGUAUUCAUAAGUUUAUUACAUGUUAAUAAAAAAAGGUUUGUCAAGUGUCAACAUUUCAGAAAACAACAUUUCACCAAUAAAAAAAGAAAAAGAAAACAUUUCAUAAAAUAGUAUUAUAGGAAUACAAAAUAGAGGCUAAAGAUAGCAAAAUAAGAGUGAGACUUAUUGCAUGUCAAUAAAAAAAGUUUUAUUAUGUGUCAAAAACUUUAUUAUGUGUAAAACAUACAUUUUAGUUUGUCAAUCAAAUACGAAACCCGUGAAUUGCAUAACUGGGCAAAAUAGAGGCAUAAGUUUGUAUGACCCAUAUACAAAGCAGAGGCAUAAAUUCUGAUCUUAUGCUGCAAGAAGAACUGGGCUAUUGGACCGAGUCACAAAAAGAAAAGAAACCUGCUAAUCACACAAAGUGAAGAAUGGAGAGUCUAGACGAGCGGACAACAAAACUGUGUGAACUUAGUUGUGAAGACUAAAGAGAAUACAUUAAAAAAAAAGAAUCAGAUUUGGUAAAAAAAACACGGGUCUUGAAGUGAAAACCGACCCAAAGUGAACCCCAAUUAGCCAUACGAAAAGAUCAAAACGGAUCGUAGCUUACGAGUUCUCACGAUUAAACUUGAGAUCUGGUGCAGUCCAGAUCCUGGUGUGGUCUUCCUUACUAUCCAGCACAGUUUGGGGUGCAAACUCGAUUAUAUUGCUACUUUUACAGCUGUGCAUAUACAUCGCCACACAACUUAUUAAUAUUAGUUAAUCUUGGGAUAGAUCCUGAAUGAGGAGAUUUAACAGUUAAGGUGUCAACAUGAUGUGAUUGUAACUCCUAACAUGUCUUAUUUUUAACCUUUAUCCCUAAAAUGUUGAAAUUGCAUGUAAAGUUCUCUUACACAUAGGUGUAUGUGUGAAAGUAAGGAAUGGAAAAAAAAAUGAAAAAUGUUAUUUUAUAAAAAAAUAGAAAUUAUAAGGAUAGGAAAAGUUGGAGAAGAACUUGGAGAAAGAUGAACCAAGUGGAUAGAGAAUAUUAUGAGUUUUGUUAUGUGGGUUCUUUCUUUUUUCUUCAAGGAAAUAAUAAAUGGUAAAAUGAGUGCAUUUAAUUUCAAAGUCAACUUAAAAAAUAAGAGUUUUUUUUUUUGGGUUUUUUCUGUUCAAAAGUAUGAAAUGGAUACUGUUUGAGAGUUCUCUAAAGAUAUGCCAUUUUUCUAGUGCCGUUGCUUAACCAUGAAGAUCCAAGACAAUUAUGCUUACUGUAAUUGAACUGAUACAAUAAGGUUAUUAAUUUUUAUUUUUACAGUAAAAACAUUCUUUAAGUAUAAUAGUUAGUUCAAAUCUUUUGUUGUAUUCUAAUUAAUCGAAAUCGUGCAAUGUUUUUUGCAGAAGGGUACACUCAUCCAUUAUGACCCCUGAGAACACUGAACUGCUCCAAAAGUCCAUAUAUACUCUGAUUUUUACCCUGAAGAACAUUGAGGUUGGACCCUAUUUUUUAAAUGGCCUACAAGUAUAAUUAAUUUAAUAACUUUGCUACUUCAUUGAUCACUUUUUGUUAUGUAAUUGCAGAAUGUUAGCUCGGAUAUUUUGGGUUUCACUGGCGAUGAAGCUACAAGAAAGAGUUUGAAAUUACUUAUCAAGUCCCUCAGCAGGUUAUUGUAGGUCAAAAUUCCAAUUAAAGUAGGAUAUAACGCAAUUAGGUUAUUUCCAAUGUGUUUCACCAACCACAACAUUGAAGGAGUAAAUAGUAUUUUGUUACUGUUUUUUGUUGUCUCUAAGGAGUGGCAGUACUGAUGGUUUUUACAUUCUACUGUAAUAGAAAUUUGUUUACAAUGAGGUGCAGAGAUGUUAUUGAUUGGGGCAGAUGAUUGCUGUGCACAUUCUUAUGAUUGUCAUACUUCGGCUAAAAUGUUUGACCCUCACUUUUGUUAGUUGUCAUUGCAAAACAAACAAUUAAUGGAAAUUAUCAUCUUUGAUAUUUGAAGGGCAUCACAUGGUCUGAUGGUUGUAAAUUCAUUCUUGGAAGUUGGGAUAAAAACAUUUUUUCUUUGUUGUUUAAAUUUCAUAUUAACCACGCUACACUAGAGCAUAAUACAAUUACGAAUAAGAAAAUAGCAUGAUACAAUUUAACAGAAGAUAAAAAACAGCACUGUACAUUCAGCUCACUAGAGCAUAAUACAAUUUUUGCCACAAACAUAAGAGAAUGAGGGUACAUGCUUUUACAUUAUUUUUCUUGUGUUUCAUUGGAGAGGUUUCAAUUGUGGUUAGUUAUCUUCAAAAUUAAAAUCUGACAUCUGAGAUGGAUAGCCAUUCGGUAUCCAUGCAAACUGGUCCUGAGUUAUCGAAAUGUCUUUGUUAAUACACGAUUUUAUCAAGUGGUAUAGGAAUCUAGAAACGUAGAGUUUUGGCACUAUUUUUCUCUUUUUUUUUUGUAAUAAUAUUACAUAGUUUCUUUCUUUGUUGUUUAAAUUUCAUAUUAACCACGCUACACUAGAGCAUAAUACAAUUAUGAAUAAGAAAAUAGCAUAAUACAAUUUAACAGAAGAUAAAAAAACAGCACUGUACAUUCAGCUCACAAGAGAUAAUGAAUGUGUACAGAAAAUAAGUGUUGCAGGGGUUAAAAUAGGGUGUAUUUGUAACAUUUAAGAACAUUGUUUUUUUUAAUAGCCUAAUUCAUCAUUUUAUUCAUGUACUGUUUAAAGUUAUUUGUUAGUUUUACAAUUUUGUAAUUGCAAAUAGGUGAACUCUGGAUUGUCGGGUAUUGCUUGAGUGGAAAAGCACUCAGCACUCAGUGUCUUUAGAGAUUUUGUCAUAAUGUCUGCAAGUUGAUCAUUUGAGUUAAAUAGAUUCAGUACAACUCUAAUAAAAUCAUCCUUCCCAUCCAUAAAAUUAUUUUAAAAUUUAUAUUUUAGAUAUAAUAAAUUAUAUAAUACUCUCUCCCCACUCUCUUGUUCUUUUAUUAUUUAUUUUUAUUUCCCAUAAAAGAUUAGAUUUUAAAUAAUUUUGGAUGGAUUUCAUUAACUCAUGACAAUACAUUCUUUCAAUUUGCUCAUCUUGAAAUUGCUUUACAAUGAAAAUUGAAUUAAUUGUCUCCUAUAUAAACUACCAUUAACUCAACUUGUACGGUAUGUAUUAUGGAAUUCAUUUGUAGUGUAAAAUAAGUCAAGUUGGAUGUUAAAAUGUUAAAAAUUAGGAAAUAGUUUGUUCCAUACCCGUGAAGGAAGUUUUUUAAAUAGAAUAGAAUAAUACCCCUAUUACCCACUUUCUAGUAACUACAGUAAAAUUAUUAGAAAACUUUCCACUCAGAACAAGUGGUGACAAAAACAGAAGAAAUCCUAAUAAUCCGGUGGCAUAAGAAUCAGGAGUUUUCACUUAGCCGAUAUACUGUGAUUUCUUGCUGCUUGAAGUACCGUCUGUCCUCUUCAUCCACAAGAACAAGAUUUAGAAAAUACUUCACACUGAACUUGUUAUUGAUGUUGUGGUAUGUAGGGGUCAACUCAUAUGGACUGAGGAACAAUCUCACAGGAAUUGAUUCUCCUGAAAAGGCAAUAUCAGCAAUACUUAUAUGUAGUUUUAUGUAUUGAUUUUAGCCAGAAAAAAGAACAAAAUCUACUUAAUUAUAAAGUAAAUCAGCCAGUAAAAGCAUCCCUUUCAAAAGCAGAAAACAAAGAAAUACUAAAUAAUAAUACAUUUGAAAUUUGAUAACAAACUACAAUAACCUGAUUGUUUUUUGGUAAGCAACAAUAACCUAUUUUUAAUUUUAUUUUAAAAGAGUGUCAGAAGUUUGAGACUUCUCUAACUAAAAAUCUGACACCAGUGUUUUGAGUUAUUUAAUUUUAUUUUGUUUCCCCACUCCCCCUUGUUGGCUAAAGAAAGGAUGUUCCUUUUUGAAUUUGUAUCCAUCAUCCAGUGCCCCUUUAUUCCUUAAAUAAUAGUACUUACAUCUAGUAGUAGUAUUCGUAUUAAUUUUUCAACUAAUAAAAAAGUAUAAGAAAAUUUCUAAAACAUUGAAUAAAGGAUUCCAUUAGACCAGGCAAAACAUAAAUGAUGUGUAUGCAUCAAACACAUAAAAAAAACUUUAUUAUGCCCUAGAAAAAUUCUAGAAGUGAAAGAUGUAGGAGACAACAAUGUAGGGGGAGAAAAUGAAGCAGAAAUAUAGAUCUCAAGAUCUAUGUUAACUGAGCAUAUUUUCUUUUCCUUUUUCUGUUUUCCUCUUUUUUAGUAUUUGAUAGUACUUCGUGGGUUUUUGUAAUUUCUCUAAUGCUAAUGUCAGUUAAUGUUUGAAUCUUAAAUUUUAUUUAAUAGAGCUAGGUUCCAACAUCCAAUGCAUAAUCAAACUCGACAUAUCAGUUAACACGGGAUUAAAAUAAGGAUUUCAUUUCACUAAUCACUACAAGUCAAACAUCAUGCAUAUAAUAUAGAGUAAAGAAUGAUUUCUCUAAAUAAAAAAUGAAGUAAAGUAUAUAAAGAUUGCAAACCUCGGACUGGAACACCAUCCAUCAACUCAAACUUUGAAAGGGUCUCUGUCUCAACAUAUGUAUUGGUCCCAGAUCCAGUUGACUCUCGGCGCCUGACUUCGAGUUCCAUGGUUUUUAUUUUGAUUCUCACCAGAAGAAAAUAUAUUUUGCCAACAAUGACAUCCUUCAGAUGAUACCUGAUAAUUUUUAAUUACCACAAGCUAGUUUCCUUUAAUCUUCUUUAAGAGCAUUAAAGAUGUAAAUUUAAUAAUGAGCUAUUUCAGACUCACUUGCUCUUGCCGUAUUCAAACUCUAUGUGUAAGCAUUCUUCAAUUCCUACUUCCAUCUGCAUGAAGCAUAAAUGCAACAAAAAAAGUUAUGCUAUUAUUAAGCAAUAUCAAUUCUCAUCAGAGUAUACCAUUAGAUUAACAACCACAUUACUUAUGAACUAAAAACAACUCCCUCGAUCACCCCAGUUGCAAAGGUGAGGACUGAAAAUAGAAACUGAUCCAAGCAGUUUUUGAACAAACACAUAACAGCAUCAGAGUAAGGGAUUUAUAUUUUAUAGCAUGAAUGGAAAACUUGAGUUUUAAGUGAUCAAGCAUGAAGUUUCAACAAGAUGAAGAAAGUGGAUUGUGGAAAUUUUUUUCCAGUACAUUCUCUAUUAGAGAUAAUAUAUAGGUUAUUAAUGAGGCAAAUUGACAAUUCACAAUAUGCAUCUACUGAUAACCACCAUAUUCUCCUCACCUUAAUGCUGUUAUUAAUAGGUGGAGCUGGAGCAUAAUUGCGUACCUGAAAGGAGAUUGUAGUAAAAGAGGUUUACUUUGGGAAAAAUUAAAAACUUAUAUUCUGUAUUAACCUGAAACUGAUAUAUAUAAACUAAUUACUACAAAAAUCAGAAUAUAAAAAAAAUUAAUCUUGUCAUAGCAUGAUCAAGCAAGAAACAGUAUGUUUCGGUCUGAAAAGUUCCUAUGUUCUACUUUGUACUAUACAAAUCCAAUAGAUGGUUGGGUUUAUUCUAUAGUAUACAACAUUCAAAAGUGCAAGAAGUAUUUGUGAAGUUAGAAAAGACAACUUACAAGAAAGGAUGAUUAAAAACACAAUUAAAAGUAAUGCAAAAGCUCAAAUAAAAAAUUGGAUAAAAUAUGUUUGUGGUCCCCCGUUUUAUCUUGAUUUCUGUCUUUAGUCCCUCAUAAUAUUUUUUUAUCGUUUUCAGUCCCUCAUAAAUUGUUCCGUUUUGUUUUUAGUCCCUGACGUUAAAUUCAACUGUUAAGUGAUGAAGUAGGUAGCAGAAUUUGCGCUUAAAAAUUUUCCGUUAAGUUUCUUGUGGUUUUUAACUACUACAAGUUUUCUGAUAGACUAAAACCACCAGAAAUGUUUCAAAAAAGAAAAUCAAAACCCCGAACACUAGAUUUUCUGAAACCACCAGAAAUGUUACAAAAAUAUACAUUCUUAGACCACCAGAAAAUUUGUAGUGGUUAAUAGCUGCCAAAAACUUAAAACAGAAAAUUUUCACGCAGUUUAUGCUUGCCAUGCCAUCACUUAACAUUUGAAAUUAACGUCAGGAACUAAAAACAAAAUGGAACAAUUUAUGUGGGACUAAACAAUUAAAAAAAAUUAUAAGGGACUGAAAAACAGAAGUCAAGAAAAACAAGGGACCAAAAACAUAUUGUACACUAAAAAAUUGAAUCAAAGAACUAAUUAUCUAGUUCCCCCUUGCUUCUCUCCUUUCUCUUUAAUCUUUAUAAAAUUAUAACUCAUACCUUCAAACUUCCUAGAGAUGCUCUCCAUCUAAAAACUACUGUUGGACAUGUUAUAAAAGUAUAAAACCAUGCAUAUGCCUUCACAUAACCUUUCCGGAUUAUUAGUUCAUGGGUAUAUUAGUUGUAGUGUGAUCAAUACACAAAAUUAGUUAGGAGUACAGGUUUCUUUGAUUUUAAUAUGAAUUUAAAUUUUAUUUAUAGAAGCAGUACACAAGACUAACAUUUAAAAGAAUCAGAAUAUAACAGAAAUCAUUAGUAUAUCAGGCAAUCAUGAAAUCCCAUCAAAUAAUUUAAAAUUUUCCAAUAAAAUAUAAACAUUAUAAUAUAUUAAAUAAUAUUAAAAAACUGCUCACACUUUGUACCCUGAACAAGUGCUCCCUUUUAAAAAGAGAACUGAAAUUUUUUCAUAGGUCACCAUAAUUAUAUGCAUAUAAGGACCAUAAAAUGAAGACAUUGAAGCACCUAUCACAAAACUGAGGUUCAAAAGUUGAGGAAAUAAAAGUAUAAUCAAACAAGUGGCAUGGUAAUAAUUUAAGAGGAAAAAGCAAUUUACAAACAUAGUGCAUUUAGUUGGAGCAUAACUAUAUUGUUAACAAUGAUUUAAUUCUAGACCAUAUAUUUUGGAUAAGAUUAGAUGUUUGGCUUCUAUUUGAUGACCGAUACAUGUUUUCUGUUUUGAACUUUUAUUAAGAAGGAGGUUGGAGGUUUCCAUAUCCUUCUAUUUUCUAAUCUUUUCCUGUUGUCUCAAUAAAAUUAUUUUAUUAAAAUAAAAUCUGCCUAAACCUUGGGUCUACCACAAAUUGGUUUCUAGAAUAUAGUGCCAGGCCCCAUGUCUUAAAAGUUAAAAAAACUAAUUCAGUUAGUAGUACCAGAAUGCAUUUGAUGUACUCUGAUAAUAUUGAGGACAUAAGUGACAUAAACAGAAGUACAUACGUAUACAGAAUCAAUAAAUGAGACAGUGACAGUUGAAUGAAAAUAUUAUAUAAUCAUAUAAGUCAUAUUAUUGUUUUUCUUUCACAUGAUUCAAACAUGCAGUCAAGAACAACAUAAACCACAAAAAAUAUGUAUGAUAAUCAAAACAAUAGGGAAUAAGUAGCAGGCAAGCUUUGAAAGUCAUGAUGAUAUAGUAGAAAAUCAACUCACAACAAAAUCCAUGUAUUCCACAAUGUUGUUGACAUAAUUUCGACUAAUUGUCACUUUCAAAAUGUACCUGCAUGAUUGCCAAAAAAGGAUCUAAUGCAUUCAGUUAAGUCAUUAUGUUCAAUCCUUUCCACCUUUAAUUACUUUUUUGGCUUAUGACAAUAUUGAUUGAAAUAUGAAAAAAGGGAACAAUAAUAAAUAACUCAAUAAACCAUUGAUAUAGUCUGAUGGUAACUGUGAAUUAAUGGGUCAGAGAACCAACCAAUAGAAAAAAAAGUAAAAUAAACCACCAUGGUGUGUGUAUUCAUAUUUCUAGGAGAAGGUGUGGAGGCCAGAAAUGACCGAUGUGAUGGCAGUUAAAAGGAGAGGAACUAGUAGCAGAUAUGUAUUAGGAUGGCAGUUAUGGAUUAGCAUAGCAGUUAUUUAAAAGAAAAUUGUAGUGUGUGAAAAUAGCCCUGUUGUAAUUCUGUAAAUCUGGACAAAGAAUAUUCUCAGUAGGAGUUAUAUGAUUCUGGGACAACAAUCCUCUACUGUACUGUAGCUUUUAUAAUGGAAGAAAAAGCUCAGAAGCAAAAACAAAAGGUUAUUAUCAUGAUAAGUCAUUGAUUUUACGAAUAAGCCAACCAAGAGAAACAAAGUAAAAUUUUCAAUCUUCUGUCCACCGAUCGAAAUAGAUUUCUACGGCUAUCAAAUUUUUGCCCCUUCUCAUUUACUAUUAUUUUACCAUUCUAGAAAGAAAUUAUAGGGUUAAAUUGUAUAUGUAGUCUGAUUUCAAAGCAACAAUAUUAACAAGCAUUUCAAUGAUUUAGGAGAAAUUUGAUAUAAUCAGUGGAACUAAUACCAAAAUGAUCUUGUGAUCCUUUGACAUUAUGCAGGAAAACUUGAUUUCCUUCCUGUUUAAAAUAAUGGAGGAAAAAUAAUAUUUACAUUUUUUUCAACUAAGGUACCACAUAGAUAUAUAGCUUAAAGCAAUGCCAGAGUCAUGAAAGUAAUUCUUCAGCACUAUCUUAGCAGCUUAUGCUUCUAGGUGAAGUAUUUCUUUCAUAUGUUAUCAGGAUCAAGUGGUCUUGAUUCUUGACCCUUCCCAUAACAGCAAUAAAAUAGCCAGCCUUUACCACCCAACCACAUUAUCUUUUUUGCAUUUUGACAAGAGUAUAUUGAUUUUCAGUUCAAUAACCAUCAACCAUUAGCUGCUUGCCUUUCUAAAAAUUGACAUUAGAGAAUCUAAUUAUUCCAUAACAAAUUUAUUGAAGAAAAGUAUAGAAAAAACAUAGAGAAGUUGAGAAUUCAUGGUUACCAUAGAUGUAAAAUAACUAUCAUACCUAAGCCUAACAUUGAUUCCAUUGUAUGAUUCAUACGGCAUUUCAACAGUAGAGAAUUCAAACGGGUAUGUUUUCCUUUCAUACAAGUUGCCAGGAACAUCAAGUUCGCGUACUGCACAUAAGUUACAGGGAGUUAAAAACUGUGGAGAAUUAUGAUAUAAACUCUAACCAAUGUUACAUCAAAAGCAUCAUGAUGCUCCCCACAGAGAGCAAGGCACUUUGGAGGGCAAAAAAGAACAAAACAGAUUACAUACUGGAGCUUCUAAAUAUAAACAUGAUUUAGAUGUAUAGCAUGUAUUAUAAGUAUGACAAGCAAAAAUUUAACUAUUCAAAUGCCUAUGCAAAAAACAUCUGAGAAUUGUAACAGAGUAGAAAGGAAGAGACAAAAAAGGAAAGAUCUCAGUUGUAUAAGCUUGAACUUACCAAGAGAACUAAAGUCAUAGAAGUUGCCUCUAUCAAAAUAUAACUCUGCAAGGAAGGAAAUGAACUAAUGGAGCAUCAUUCAUUAUAUACACACCCAAUACUAAAAAAUAAUGCCCCCACUGAAGUCAUUGUACACAAAAUUAACUCCAUACACCAACAAUAUCCAUGGAGACAACAUAUAAAAUAACAUGAACACCAAUUUUUUAGUACACUUCAUGAUGGCAUUUAGAGGGCUCUGCUUUGUAGCCAGAGUAUAUAGUAAAGGAGCAGAGGAUAGAAGGGAUUCUAAUCCAGCUUCCCUUUCACUAGAUAUCUUGAAUAUGAUAUAUAUACAUUCAACCACAAGUUCAAAUCAUGAUAAACAAACUAAAUAAUAAAUAAAUAAUAUAAAAAAAGAAUAUACAUAUUAUUGUUGUACUGAUCCAAGCUAAACACUUUACUUCUCAUUUGAAGUUAUAGACAAACAAAAAGCCACAUAAUUACAAAUUAGAUGCAAUUAAGGGUACUGCCAUCAGCCCAUCAGUGACAAUGGCUAUUGCAUUUACAGAUAGAAAUCCUACAUUUAUACCAAAAAAAAAAAAAAACAACCGAAGGAAACACACCUAUUUGACCAAGAAGCUCAAUUUUUACACCAUUAUGUUCAACCUUCUUCCCAUUUGAAGGUUCAAUAAUAACCUGGUCCCAAAGUGUCAACAAUUAAAUUCCAGUCUACUAACAGAACAAAAUCCCCACAUCAAAAGUAAAACACAACAGUUGAUGAUGCCAUGCAGUGUACCUCCCCAACUAUAUUCUCCUGACUUUGAAAGAGAGGAACCAUGACCAUUUGGCCAUUUUCCUUCUUUAUGCGAACCUAGCAAACACGAGAUGGUACAAAAGUGUAAAUCAAGGUGGCCUUGUUAAAGCUUUUGAAAAACAAAUGAAAUACCCUUCCUCAGCAUCCUGGAAGCUAAUUCCAAAUCUUACUUAGUGUCAUAGUGAUAAUAUCUGAAUAACAAUAAUGAGGAAGUUUAAAACAAACAAAAGUUUGUAUUUCCAUAGAAAGAAUAUACUUUGAGGGAUUAACAUGUUACUAUAAGAAAGAUUAAACAACACAAUACCUAACCAGACAUCCCAAAUCUCAAAUAAAAAUUCAGAAGUUGAACAUCGGUAUAUAAAGAACGGACUAGCCACUUUCUGUUACAUAAAUUAUACUAUUUAUCACAAAUAACCAUGCCAAUCAGAUCACUGAGUCAUUACACUAUAUGACAUUACCUUAUAAUUUCAUGUCAUAUGUGGGUCAGAUUAGGAGUUAGGACCAAACAUAGAAACCCACAUGGAUUCAGAUAUUGAAACCAUUUAGAUAUUCCGUGAGUCCAAAGUUUUAAAUUGAAGUUGUGGUUGUGAUUUAGCCAUAAUCCUUGAUAUUGUGGAAAAUUGCAAACAAAUAUAGCUGAUCCAGCCACAAUUGUGGUCCCAAUGCGGUUACAGAUACCCAAAAAUCUUGACAAUUGCAUCCACAAUUGCAGUUGCGAACCAUUUAUGACAGUGAUAAGUAAAAUGUUUAACUGGGUACGUACGGUACUCUGACUCCGAAACCCCUUUGUGAUGAAAAGGGCCAGAAGGAGCUUCCUUUAUGAAAAUCUUCUUAUUGAGAUACUCAUACAGAGGUCCAACUUUCACAUGAAUAGACU